UCAAUUUUAGAAACCUCCUUGCAUGGAUGCAUGGGCAAUGCUUUGGGUCUUAGGAAUGAUGCAAUCCACUUCCAAUUCGUGUCUAAAGUGUAAUGAAUCCAUCAUGUGGAAGCAUGCAAAAGAAUUUGAUCAUUUGAAAUCCAAUCUUGCUAAAACACUUCCCAUAAUGAAGUCAUGCACAAGUCCCUCAAUUUUGAUCCAAAUGAGAUGAUCUUGGAUGUUUUGGAAAGGUGAGAUCAAGGGGAACAACUUUCAUGUUGAAUAAUUUUUCAUUUUAAGUUUGGAUCAUGAUGAAUGUUGAGGUGGAAGUUUGGGAAAUCAAAAAUAUUUGAAAAUUUUCUAAGUCCCAAGUCAAAUGUUCACUUCUUCCACCUUGAAUAACUUUUUCUAUGGACUUUAAAUGAGAAACGUUUAUUCACCAAAGUUGUAUAUCUUUCAAAUCUCUUAAUGUUUGUCACAAAUUUGACCUCAUUUGAAUUUGGCAUGAAGGAGUUAUGCAUUUUAGAAGUUGAGGAAAAUCACUUGUUCAAUGGUAAUGGCCCAAAAUGACCUAUAAUGUUUCCUCUUGGCACAUGCAUUUACAAGUUGAAUUUUUACUUCCUCCAAACAUCAAAGUUGAAUUAUACAUAUUAAAUUUGAUCAUUAAAUUUUAAUGGCUUUCAUAUAAUAAAAAUUGAGCAAGUUAUGGUCUUCUGAAGUUGACCUCCAAACUAGGGUUCAGACAGAAUGACCUAUAAUCUUUCACCAUAAAAAAAUACUUUCCAAGAAACAAUAGCUCUAGACCUAAACAUGAAAGUUGUUUGUAAUUUCAUUUAGAGUAACUUUUCUAUUGUAAUUAUUUUCACAUGAAAAAAAUUGUAGGAGAUAGGGUCUAGGGAACCCCCGUUUCGACCAGUUGACUUUCUCUGGUCAACCACCAAGAACUAACUUGCUAACUUGAUAUUCUCUUGACUUUUGGGGCUCAUGGAGGAUCAUAUAUGCAUAAGAUGAUGUAAUGUGAAGUAUCCCUUGAGAUAUUUGAUCAAUUGUUUAAGAAACUUGUUGAAGAAGCCACAUAAGAUACCCAGAUGAAUUAGGGUUUCCAAGUCAAACAAACUCCAAACUCUUGAUGAUUUCUUGAUCAAAAUAACAUGUGAAGAUCAUGGGAUCCAUAUAUGAUGCUUAGAUCUUAUUUGAACCAUUUCUUGAUUGAGAUCCUUGCAUUGAGGGUCUUAGACCCUAUAUAUGAACUUCAUGGAGCAUAGGUGAGCAUACACACUACCAACAAAAGCAACAAACUAUACAUUGACAUAUUUUUGGUAUUUUGGUUAGUAAAUAAAGAAAACCAAAGUAUCAUACAACAUAAAGUGCUUGGUGACCUCUCUGUAACACCCCAAAAUUUGCCCUCCUCAUUCAUGCAUUCAUUUAGCAUUUCAUAUUGCAUUUCAUCAUGUCAAUCAGAAUUAGAUCCAAGAAACUUUAAAAAAAAUAAAAUAAUAAAAAAAAAGAAUGAAAAUAAAAUAAAAUAAAAUAAAAUAAAUAAAAUAAAUAAAUAAAUAAAAAUAAUAAUAAAAAAAUAAAUAAAAUAUAAUAGAAAAACUUGGACUUGGACCUCUCUCAUUUGAGCCCACAAAGCCAUGAAAAUCAGGUUAUAAAAGAGGGAGAUGAGGACAAGAAAAGGAAGAGAAGCAAAAUACUCUGAGGUUUCCUUGAAAAAACCUUGCAAAAUGGCAGAGAAACCUGACAGAGAACUCAGAGCAACCCCCAGGCAGCUCUGAAAAAUUCAAUCUGACUCACACACUUUAAUUCUCACGCAAACCCUAACAUUGCCUUGCCAACCCAGCCGUGCCUUGAUUUCAACCGGUCUCCCCAUCAGGUUUGCCUCAUUCCCAUGAUUUUAGUGCUCUUAAUUGGAUCAUCUGAAUGUAGAGGUAUGAUGGAUGAAUUUCAUUAUGUUUUGCCCAUGGUUUAAUUAUGCAUGAAUGGGUGAAACCUAUGCCUUGAAUGUUUAAUCACAUGAUUUCUGAAAUGUAUGCCACAGGGUUUGAGGUUUCUGAAACCAUACUGUUAUCCAUGAAAAAAAUGUUUAUCGUGUGUUCACUAACCCUUUCGUUGAGUUUUUGGAGGGCUCACAGACUCUUGCAGAGAUGGUUUGCGUGGUUUUCCCACUUUAUUUGUGGGAUACCCCCUAGAGGUUCAUUCCGAUUACCUGUACUGACUCACCUUUCUUUGAUGGCAUUAGCUUGGGAGAUCCCUGGGUUUCCUACUCCUUUAAUUGCUGUUACUCCGGAUCUUUAUCCGUGUGGUACUUUUACCUCUUUUCCGCAUUUUAUCGCUUUCUUAGCUGGAAGACCUCGAUAGGAGGCAUUUGUUUUCUAUUGUUUAUCUACUUCUGAGCCCCUUGUUGGCACAUUAACUUUAUACAUGUUUGUUUUGUAUGUGUUCGUAUCCCUGCAGGUAGCGCGGUUCCUUCGUCAAGGACUGCCCUUUUUGCCCUUGAGCAUCCCAAACCCUAAAACCCAAAGCAACACAUUAACUCCUUCUACUACAGGCGAGCAAGUCUCCAAAGGUCGAGCAUCCGGUAGAUUGCGUAGUGACGUCGUUCGUCCCAAACCCAAUCCAUAACCCCAUAGUUAGCCGAACUACGUUUUGCUCUGAUUCUCAGGCCAGAUGAGAUACGUAGGCAUAAGACGCGAUGUCUUAGCGAGCACAAUUACCCUUAACCCUAGGUAGCCGAGUACGAAGACUCUGAUUCUCAUAUUCAGAUGAGAUACGUGUGCAGUGAUGCGACAUGCCGCGCGAGUCAUUUUCAUUUAACCCCUUUUUUUUAGUAAUAACACAAUUAGAUAACCCACACCCUUUAGACAAGAACUACAAAAGUGGAUCCCGUAGAGUACUACGGAUGCGUAGGGGUGCUAAUACCUUCCCUUCGCAUAACCGACUCCCGAACCCAAGAUUUGGUUGCAAGACCCCGUCUUGUCCUUUCCUUUUUCAGGUUUACUUCGAGCGUUUCCUUUCCCUCCUUUGGGAUUAAUAACGCACGGUGGUGACUCUUCUGUCAUUUUCUUUCGCCGGUUGUUUUUUCGCGCACUGUAUUUUUUCAGGUUGCGACACUCUCCCAAUGCAAACCCAAUGAAUGAAGGUAAAGAGGAUGCCAAGGAUCCAAAUGCCAAUGCAUAUGAUGAGAUGGCAUGAGGGAUCUUAGGGUCAAAAUUGGGGUCUUACAACAACCCCUUUUUAAGGGCGUUCUAGCUGAGGAGAUGAAGGUUAAAAUCUUCAUAUUGAGUCAGCAGAAUGGACUUAAAUAACAAUAAUAGAAACAAAUUUUGGUCCCUAAGAGACCUCAUGAUGCAUAUGAUAUGAAUGCUAAAAAUAUUCUUUAUGGGGAAAAUAUUGCCACAAAGGAAAAGAAUCUAGAGAGACUGAAAGUCCGUAGGAGUAUAAUGCAUUUCGUAAGGAAAACUCACUGGGGAGACAGUGACUCUAGGGGAUAAAAAGUUGUGCGUAUGCCAGGCUACGACUUAAAACUAUUGGGGGACAUGAGAGAUUCCAUGAAAAUAAAUCAAUGGAAAGACUCAACCGGGGAUAAAAGGGAAAAUUUGUAGGGGACACAGGUAAAUCAGAACAAAGUUGAAAUCCUUGAACCAAACAGGAAAUGGUGAUUUCACUGAGGAAAUACACACUCGAACUCAACUGGGGAAGAAAAGAUCUUCGAUGCAGGAGUAACGGAAGUAUAUUAUCCACUAUCGGUCACUGGACAAUGAGAUAAAAUUAUCUGACAGCGGAGACAUCUGUUAUCGAUUAGGGUAAACAUAUCAAGGAUGACUUGCUGAGGGCAACAGAAGGUGUAUUCAUUACCAGUUAAUGGGAAAGAAUAACCUAUUUGGGAGAAGCCAAAUAGAGUUUUCAGUUACCGGUUAUUGGGCAGAAGACCUCAAAGAAAGAGAAUAUUCAUCACUGGUUAAAGUGAACAUAUCAAGGAUAGACUAAAAGGGAAGAAUAUCCGUCAUCAUUUAAGAUGAAUAUAUCAAGGAUAGACUGCUGGAAAAAAGUAGGAAUUACAUCUAUGAGUUACUGGAUAGAAUACCAGAGAGAGAAUAUGCGUCAUCAAUUAAGAUAAACAUAUCAAGGAUAGACUCCGAGGGAAAAGCAGGAUUUACGACUACCGGUUACUGGGCAGAAAACCAUAAAGAGGAGGAAAUUCGUCAUCGGUUAGGAUGAACAUAUCAAGGAUUAACCCUAUCGGGAAUGAAAUAGGGAUUACAACUACCUUUUUAUUGGGUAGAAUACCAAAACGAGAAUAUCUGUCAUCGGUCAAGAUGAACAUAUCAAGGAUAGACUCAGAAGAGAAAGGAUAUCCGUCAUCGGUUAGGAUGAACAUAUCAAGGAUAGACUUCCUGAGAAACGUGAAAAUGAAUCUGCUGGGAAAAAAUAAAGGAAGUAGAUUACUUUUACCGGGUAUUGGGAAAAAGUAAAGUACUCACAAAUCGAGAAGAAUAUUACCAUUUACUAGGUGACAGACUCUCGGGGGACCAAGGUAUCUAUCUAGGCAAGGUCUAGAAAAAAGGUCAAUUAAGGACUCAACCCAAUGAGGAUAUAACUUAGGGGGAGUGGUUCCAUCCAGAUAAUCAACUGGGAGGAAGAUGAAAUAAUGAUCAUCCACGAGGAAAUAACUCAAUGGGGAGUGAGAAAGGUUAAAUUCUUUCUGCUUAAGAGGCUAACACUCUACAAUUGAGGGAGGACGGACACACCAAAUCUGCAUGGGGAAAAGGAUACCACCAUAGCAGAGGAUCGAAAAAGAAUUAAUCACAAAAUGCAAUAAUAAUGCAAUAAUGAAAUCUAUGAAUGUAUAUUUAUAUGUAUAUAUGAUGAUUAUGCUGACAACACAAUCACAAGGAUACAAAUGUCAAGGAUCUGAAUCCUCGUUACAACACUCAGCCAAUCUCAACAGGAUGGAGGCAUCGGCUGGAGAAAAAGAGUUGCUAAGGAUGAACAAAAAUCAUUUGUCUCGAGGGCUCGAUUCUGGCUAGGGAAAGAGGACAAAUUGCUAAGGAUCUGCAUCAUCAACUCUGCGAGGAAUUUUAGGCCAACAUCAUAUCAAAUGGGAGACAACCUUGCAGAGGACCAGAAACAUUGCUCAAAAAUUAGUGCUGAUAUGGAUUAGAGAUAACUCCGCUGGCGACCUGAGGGGAAACAUAAUCUGUAAUGAAUCUAUGCAAAUCAUUGAGAUAACGCGCCUUCAACCCGAGGGGGGCGAUUACAAACUCAGUUGGCAUACCAACAAAACUCGGCUAGAGAUGUGGGGUUGCCAUUCAGAAAAGAUGACCGAACCAACUGCUUGGGGAAAACCAACAAUGCUUCGCAUUUUAGGACUUACCUUUUCUCAGACCGCUGUUGAUGUUCCUUUAAUGGAAUCGAUUGCUCUUAAAAGUAAUUGCUUUUAUUAUUUUAAGAAAACAUGAUUUUGAUUUUUAAAUUUAAUUUCAAAAUGAUCAUAAUAAAAUUUAAUUCUAUUUAGCUGAAUAAAUAAGAGUAGAAAUAAUUGGAUAAAAAGUUUAACUUUAUUUAAUAGAAUGGUAGUCUGUAAAUGACAAGACUCUGCGGAUCUUUACAAAAGUUGAAAGAUGGUAAUUUACAUGGAAAAAGGCUACAUUGAAUACAAUGAUCACUAAUCCUUCUACCAAUUUUGAUAUCCACUGUGCUCCUUAGCUUCGGUUGAGAACGACGAAUUAGAACCCAAUGACGUGCUCAAGAAUAUCUUCAAGACUGAAGAUCAUCAGGAUGCAACUACUUGCCAUGAUCCCUAAUUUUUGCAUAAAUUUCCCCAAGGUGGGUACUCAAUUUAUCGGGAUAUAUUUUUCUAUUUUAUGUCUCUAAUUUUUGCCUGGAUCGCCCUUUCAGGUUUUCAAUCCACCGAGACGCUCAGUUUUGCCUAAGCCGCCCUUUCGGGUUUUCAACUUAGCGAGUUGUUCCUUUUCUUUUUUAGGCGAAGCAUUUCUUGACUGCAUUGGCAUUCACAGGACGCAUGAACUCUUCACCAUCCAUAGUUGUAAGAAUCAAAGCACUGCCUGAAAAGGCUCUCUUAACAACAUAUGGGAUUUCAUAAUUAGGAGUCCAUUUGCCCUAGCGUUUGGUUUGAAAGAUAAAAUCUUCUUGAGCACAAGGUCACCUUCUCUGAACACGCGAGGUUUGACCUUCUUAUCAAAAGAUUUAUUCAUUCUCUGCUAGUAUAACUGACCAUGGAACAUGGAAGUCAACCUCUUUUCUUCAAUUAAAUUCAGCUGGUCAAACCUGGUCUGACACCAUUCAGCUUUUGUCAACUUGGCUUCCAUCAGCACACGCAGUGAUGGGAUUUCAACCUCUAUCGGGAGCACAACUUCCAUGCCAUAAACAAAUGAGAAAGGGGUUGCCCCUGUUGAAGUCCGGAUGGAUGUUCGGUACCCGUGCAAAGAAAAUGGGAGCAUCUCAUGCCAAUCUUUGUAUGUCACAACCAUCUUCUGGAUGAUCUUCUUAAUGUUCUUAUUUGCAGCUUCAACAACCUCAUUCAUCUUUGGUCUAUAGGGAGAAGAACUAUGAUGUGAAAUCUUGAAGUCUUUGCAAAGGGCUUCCACCAUAUUAUUGUUCAAGUUAGAUCCAUUAUCAGUAAUGAUCUUACUUGGCACACCAUACCGGUAUAUAAUAUGAUUCUUGAUAAACCUUACAACAACGUUCUUGAUUACAUUCGCAUACGGUGCCGCUUCAACCCACUUUGUGAAGUAGUCAAUAGCCACUAGAAUAAAACGAUGUCUGUUUGAAGCUUUGGGCUCAAUCAUGCCAAUCAUAUCAAUUCUCCACAUGGAGAAGGGCCAUGGAGAGGAAAUGACAUUCAACAUCUUAUCUACAUAUAUUUGACACUUGUGGCAUUUCUUCACAAACUUGCAACAGUCAUAUUCCAUUGUCAGCCAAUAGUAACCUGCUCUCAACAUCUUCUUAGCCAUAACAUGUCCAUUGGAAUGAAUGUCAAAGGAACCUUCAUGGACUUCAAUCAUCAAUAAGUCUGCUUCGUGUCUAUCCACGCAUCUGAGCAAAACCAUGUCGAAGUUUCUCUUGUAAAGCACAUCACCAUUCAGGCAGAAGUUGCCACCUAAUCUCCUCAAAGUCUUCUUAUCUUUCAAAGAUGCCCCAGGCGGGUAAAUCUGACUUUGGAGGAAACACUUGAUAUCAAAAUACCAUUAUUUUUCAUCUUUGAACUCUUCAACAGCAAACACAUGAGUUGGCCUAUCAAGAUGCAUUACAGUCAAAUUGGGAACUUCAUUCCAGAAUUUCACCAUAAUCAUAGAAGCCAAUGUUGCAAGAGUAUCUGUCAUCUGGUUCUCAUCUCAAGGGAUAUGAUGAAACUAAACCUUUGUAAAGAAAGUUGAUAUCCUCCUCGUAUAAUCCCUAUAUGGUAUCAAACCGGGUUGAUUCAUCUCCCAUUCACCUUUGAUUUGAUUCACAACCAAAUCUGAAUCUCCAUAGACGUCAAGAUAUUUGAUGCUGAGCUCAAUGGCCUCUUCAAGCCCCAUAAUGCAAGUUUCAUACUCAGCCAUAUUGUUCGUACAUUUGAAAGUUAAUCUAGCUAUGAACGGAAAAUGAGUGCCUUGAGGAGUAAUAAUCACUGCCCCAAUGCCAUUACCAUACUGAUUAACAGCUCCAUCGAAUACCAUGCCCCAACGGGAACCAGGUUUUGGCCCUUCUUUAAGCAAUGGUUCAUCACAAUCUUUCAUUUUCAAGUACAAGAUCUCUUCAUCAAGAAAAAUCACACUGCACUAACUGAUAAUCUUCAAUCGGUUGGUGAGCAAAAUGGUCAGCCAAGGUACUACCUUUAAUUGCUUUUGAGAUCGAUAUUCAAUAUCAUACUCUGAUAACAACAUCUGCCAACGGGCAAUCCUCCCAGUUAAAGCAGGCUUCUCAAAAAUUCACUUGAUUGGAUCCAUUUUGGAUAUCCACUAAGUAGUAUGAUUCAACAUAUACUGACGCAGACGCUUAGCAGCCCAAGCUAAUGCGCAACAAGUCUUUUCUAGCAUAGAAUACCGAGUCUCAUAGUCGGUUAACUUCUUACUGAGGUAGUAAAUUGCAUAUUCUUUCUUUCCAGUUUCAUCUUGCUGACCAAGAACACAACCCAUACUUUCAUCAAGCACAGUCAGAUACAAGAUCAACGGUCUUCCUUCAAUAGGCGGAGACAGAAUCAGAGGUUUAAGCAGAUACUCUUUGAUACUAUCAAAAGCUUUUUGGCAAUCUUCGGUCUAAUCACAAGAUUGAUCUUUCCGAAGAAGCUCGAAUAUAGGCGCACAUGUGGCAGUCAUAUGCGAUAUGAAUCUUGAGAUAUAAUUCAAGCGGAGGAGAAAACCUCUGACUUGCUUCUCAGUUUUGUGCGCAUGCAUCUCUUGUAUUUCUUUAACCUUGGCAGGAUCAACUUCAACACCCUUCUCGCUGACGAUAAAGCCCAACAAAUUGCCAAAACGAACACCAAAUGUACAUUUAUUGGGAUUCAAGCGGAGUUUGUACUUCCUCGAACACUAGAAUAGCUUCAAAGAAUUCUCAACAUGUUCUUCUUCAUCACUUGAUAUGGAAAUCAUAUCAUCAACAUAGAUUUCGAUCUCUUGAUGCAUCAUAUCAUGGAAAAGAGUGGUCAUAGCUCUCUGGUAAGUUGCACCGGCAUUCUUUAGACCGAAAGACAUCACUCUAUAAUAGAAUGUUCCCCAGGGUGUAACGAAUGUGGUCUACUCCAUAUCCUUUGGUGCCAUCUUGAUCUGAUUAUAACCGGAAAAUCUAUCCAUAAACGAAAAUACUUUGAAUUUAGUUGUAUUGUCUACCAACAUAUCAAUGUGUGGCAGAGGAAAAUCAUCUCUCGGACUAGCUUUAUUCAAAUCUCUAUAAUCGACACACAUGCGGACUUUUCCAUCCUUCUUUUGAACAAGCACAAUAUGGGCCACCCACUACAGAUACUCAGCGGUAACAAGGAAACCAGCAUCAAUCUGCUUCUACACUUCUUCUUUGAUCUUUACUGCCAUAUCAGGGUGAGUCCUCCUCAAUUUCUGCUUGACUGACGGGCAUUCUGGCUUCAACAGCAAUCUAUGUUCCAUAAUCUCAUAAUGUAAACCAGACAUGUCUUGAUAGGACCAGGAAAACACAUCUGAAUACUUUCGAAGAAGAUCAAUCAACCCCUUUUUAAGCUCUGAACACAGUUGAGACCCAAUCUUGACUUCCUUCACAUCAUCUUCGGAACCCAAGUUGACUAACUCAAUUUGCUCUUUAAAUGGCUGAAUGGCUUUUUCCUCAUGCUCAAGUAGACGAGAUAAUUCAUUAGAUACUUCUUCAUCAGUCUCCUCCUCAGCCCCAAACACAGGGAAUUCAAAGUUUGGAGAGGGAGUAGGAUCAUUGUAUUCAUGGGUUUAGAAACCAACCUGCAUAAUGAUUUGAUAUUUUAUUUUAGAGAAGUGAAUUAUGACCAAAUAUCAUUCAGAUAGACAAUUAUUAUUUACUUAUGUAUGUUUUUUAUGAUUACCAUUUUCAGAAAAGAAAAAAGUAAAAAUAAAAACAUCAUAGAUGUAGAUGAAUAAAAUUGCAUUUUAUUGAUGAUAAUUGAGAAAUGCCCAACAAUAUUCACUUCCCCCUUCGGCAUAGGAGAAUGAUUUUUCUUAAAAUAAUGGAAAAAAACAAAUUACUUAGAGCUAUGGACAAUAACGGGAACAUCAAUAGCAACCCAAUUGUUGCAAGCCCUUCCACGCGUCACAAAAUUGGUGCAGUUUUCCUCUUCAUCACCCUCGAUUACGGCAGCUGAGUGUUGUUCAUUAUCAUGGACGAAACCUCCGCUACGGAAACUCGGUUGCAUAACUUCAGCUUUAACAUGAGAUGACCCUUGCUGAAAUCCCAAUCCGGCUCUGUUCUUGUUCUCGGCGACCUCUACCAUAUGGCCUCAUUGAUCUGUGCUACCAUCUUCAAUAGUUUUCUGCGCAUCUUUAAAAUAGGACAUGGGUGCCCCUGACAAGCUUGUCAUUCUUCACAAAUUUCAAUUUCUGGUGCAGAGUGGACGUCACAGCUCCAGCCUCAUGGUACGAUGGCCUUCCCAAAAAGCAGCUAUAGGCCGGGUGGAUAUCCAUUAAUUGAAAAGUAAUUUGGAAAUCACUCGGACCUGUCUUCACUGGAAGGUCCACUUCUCCUAUAACAGGCUUGUGAUAUCCAUUAAAUUCCUUAACAAUCACGCCGCUAUACCUCAUCGGGGCGCCUUGCUAGGAUAAUCUUGACAGAGUUGAUUUGGAGAGUACAUUCAAAGAUGAACCAGUAUCGACCAACACAUUGGACAAAGAGUCCUCCUUAUAAUUCAUCGAUAUAUGCAGCGCCAAAUUGUGAUUUCUACCCUCCUUAGGAAGUUCUUCAUCAUAAAAGCUCAAGUUAUUGCUGAAGGAGAAUUGCCAUCCAAGGCGCAGCGGAAUUUAAAAAUUUCUCCAUUUAGUGAUCCUUACGAAUGGGCAUGAUCAGUGAUAGAAUCGUUACCUCUUGUGGCGAUUCAAACCUUUGAUGCAGACAGAGUUUCUGAUAAUGAUCAAAACCUUUGAUACAGAUCCACGGGCGAUCACGAACGUUGAACGAUGACAACGUCUCUACUCAUCCACACGAACGGAUUCCUUCAAUCGCAGUGCUAGCUGUUAUGAAUGAAGGCUUUGAGUGAGAGAGAGUACGAAAUUCCAACUCUUCAGUUGUGUGCUGUCUCAGUGAGUGACCAUGCUUCUACCCAAGCGGUUCUAUUUAUAGAACCACUUGUGUGGGCUUCAAGCCAAAAAGCCGACUUAAGUGCAUUUUGGCCCAUAGCUCAUAAAUGCCAAAACACUUAAGUAUUUGGUACUUACCAUAUUUCGUAUUCUACUUAAGUACACCGUACUUACGAUGUUCCUUAAUUAUUCUAUCUCUCAUCAAUCCGUCCUUGUGUGUGACCCUAUAGUUUUCGCGGCGUUGGCAAUUAUAUUAAAUCACGCAUUUAACAUAAAUAAACAGUGAGCGGUAUCUAGCACCACAUCACUGCUACCAAGUCACGAAAAUGUCAUGUGAUCUGACAAAACCUCCUGUGAUAAUAAUCAUGUGUAUAAUUCCCUUUGCCUUAUGUCUAUAUUGAGCACAAGGUAUAGACCGUGUCACCCUUGUCCAGUUCAAUAUUGGGCCCAUAGACAUUUAUCCUGUACGCAGGAUUGGCAAAUUCCAUCUAGACACUCAUGUUCCUCAGCAUGCUUCGUGGAGUACCCAUCAACUGUCUUAUGGUUAUCCAAUUACGGACAACGUUGGAUCAGCAAUAAAGCACUCGACUCUACAUCUAGGAUUCAUAGUGGUUUCAGGUCGAAGAUGGUAUACACUAUUAUCACCAUGGAAUACCUUAUGACACUUUGCAUAACUUUCUAUAUAGUAUUCUCAUAGCGGUCAAUCUCGGUAUAAUAUUACUCCUAAUAUUCAUACCUAUGUUUAAGACUUGAUAACUCUUUAUCCAUGAUCCAUGAGAUGUGAUCACAGUCUACAAAUAUAAUAGUCUUAAUGCUUUAAUGUUAUCCACUUCACACUAAAGCUCGACUACAGAUACUUUAAGAAUAGUGUCCUUAUGUUUAAUGUGUUCUCAUGAUUAAGUCACACUUAAUACAUUAAAUGGACUACCUAUUCCAGGGACUUUAUUAAUCAACCAUAAUAAAGAAGAUGCGCUUUUAUUAUUAAUAAAUAAUUCGAUACAGUACCAAAGUAUUGGCCUCUAGGGCUUAUACAACAAUCUCCCACUAGCACUAGAGCCAAUCAGACAUACCCCAUAUGCCAUCGAUCUAUUAUGGCCAUCAUGCUUUUGCUGCGCAAGAGGCUUUGUCAGUGGGUCAGCUAUAUGUCAAGUGAGACUUUACAUAUUUCACACAACGUCUAAGUAUGUGUUGGAUCGUUGGUAAGUCUAGGCUCCUUAGCUUGUGCGAUAACACCAUUGUUAUCAUAAUAGAGACCAAUGGGAUCCAUAAUGCUAGGGACUAUGCCAAGUUUAUUGAUCCAAACAGCUUCCUUUACUGCACUUAAGGCAGCAAUAUGCUCGGCCUCAAUUGUAGAAUCAGCAACUGCAUCUUGCGUUGAACUUUUCAAGCUCACAGUGCCACCAUUUAAGCAAAACACAUAACCAGAUUGGAAUCAUUCAUAUUAAAGCGUCCCAGCACUUUGUCUAUGUACUCUGACUUAGGCCAACAUUUCAUGAUCUAUCUCUAUAGAUUCUGAUAGUUUGCUUCACCCAGGUCCUUCAUAGAAAAGCAUUUCCCUCAACCAAGACUUACUUGUUGCAGGUAGGAUAUCGAUUCCAAUGAGUAAUCUGUCAUCUACAUAUAAAUACCAGGAAUACGAUUAUCUCCCACUAACCUUCUGUAGACAAGGCUCAUCUUUGUUCUUGAUGAAUCAUACAGUUUUACUGUUUCAUCAAGGGAAGAUUCCAUGAGUAGGUCACAGGCUCAUCUUGAUCCAUGAGUAAUACAUCACCUUGAUCAGAUAUCCAUAUAUCUCAGGUAGGUGACGUAUCCUGCCUGACCUACAUUGGUCUUGUCUACUUGAGCAGGUUGCUUUUACACAACUACUUGUGUUCCUGCUCUAAUUCCUCCAUAGGUGUAUCGAUGCUUUGUGAUUCUUGAAUUUCUUCAAGCUCUACUUUCCUCCCACUGGUUCCUUUGGAAUUAAAAUCCUUUUCUAGGAAAACUCCAGUUCGAGCGACAACACUUUGCCCCCGAAGGAUUGUAGAAGUAAUACCUCUUGUUCUUUAGGAUACCCCCAUAAAUAAGCAUUGGUCAGAUUUGGGCUUAAGCUUAGUUGAAAUUUGUCGUUUCACUAAACUUCGCAACCCAAAUCUUCAUGUAAGACAUAGUGUGGUCUCUACCACUCCAUAUCUCAUUGGUGUCUUUUCAACCUUUUGGAUGGAACACGGUUAAGUUGUGUAAGCUGAUGUCAAUGGUGUAUGUCCUCAAAAGAAGUUUGGAAGAUUGGUGUGACUCAUCAGUGGAUCGGACCAUGUCCAACAGGGUUCGAUUUCUUCUCUCAGAUACACCUUCCAUUGGGGUGUUCCAGGAGGAGUAAUUGGUAGGUCCCACACCUCUUUCAGAUGGUCAUCAAACUCUAUGGAUUAAAUACUCAUCACUUCGAUCUGAUCGAAGAGUUUUAAUAUCUUACCUAGUUGGUUUAACUCGUUAGUUUCACCCUUUGUAUUAAUGUUAUUAAGAGGCAUUUCAAGAUCAAGACAUAUAGUCCAUUGUUAUUUGUGCAGUAGCAUAGAAUAUAUCAUUCAAAUAAUUGAGCAACAUUGUUCUUUAUUAUAAAAUGGAAAAUCAAACUGUCAAACAAGCAAUGAAAUAAUCCUGCUAAUUGCAGGUACAUAAUAACAAUUCUCAACUGAAUUAUAAAGCCCCAUAGGAAAGUCAAUACAAAGUUCCUACGGCUAAAGCAGCAACCUUUGCUCCAUAGCCAACUCGUAGGUCGACUUCACCUUUGCCAAAUCUCUACUCCUUUUUAGUUUCCUGCACAUUUGUACAAAUGUGAGAACGCAUCCAGAGUAUCUAACCCAUGAUCCAGAAGUAGAUAAUUAAAUAAAAAUACCUGAAGUUGAAGUCUCUACCCAUUCUUCUUAUCUACCAGGUAUUGGGCAGUUCCUCUCCGUGUCGGGUCUUACCGCAAUGAAGCAGGUGUCUCUUUUACUAUGCCCCCAUCAGGCUUCAAGCAGCAGUGGUCUGGGAUUGGCAACUUCCUUCCCUUCCCUUAUCACUCUCUGCUUAGUGGGCCUUUUGUUCUGUCUCUUUCCAUUUCCGAUCAUCAGAAUGGACUUCCUUUUUGGACUUCAGAUUCUGCUCGCAGUUCUAACAUGGUGAGCACUUCAGGCAGGAUUGUCCAUAUCAAUCAUAUGAACUUUAGGAAAAUUGACUGAUACUAUCUGGCAAACGAUUGCAAGAUCAAAUCAGUUGCAAGUUCCUUUUCGAGGGGAAAACCCAAUCUCUCAAGUUUCCACAUACCCAUCAUCUUGAGUACAUGGGACCCUUACAGGGGCUCCCUCAGCUAACUUGCUUGAAAAAGGGCUUUUUGAAACUUCAAACCUCUCAUGCCUUGCUUGCUCUGAUAGAGCAACUUCAGGUGUUCGAUCAAUAUCGAACGCUGACAUGUUCUCAUGUUGCUUUUGCAAUUCUGAGUUCACUGGUAGCCAGCAUGAAACAAGCAGUUUCAUGGCACAUCGACAUGCUUCUUAAAGCAUUCUCUUUCUGCCUUAGGUGCCAGAACUAGGAGCCCCUCUUCAGGAACAGGGUCUCCAAGACAACAACUUUUUAUCAUGUUUUGAGGACAAUCCUCAGGUUUCGGUGUCCAAUCCAGAACAUUUGUCCAGACAAUUUUCCUUAUCAAGGAUUGAUCCAAGAUUUGUUGAGGUUUGCUGUUCAUGGUAAUCUAUACAAGGAUUAAUGAAAUAUAAGUAUCAUUGACAUUUAAUUAGCCUUUAAUUAAACAUGCUCCCACUUAUUUACUUCAAAACAAAUGACCCUCAUCAUCUGAUUCGGAAAAUCGCCGUUGGAAGAUUUUCUAGUGGUCGAGAUCCAUAUUUCACUCGUUCUAAAGUCCGCGUAGGCGAUUACACAAAACUAGGUAUUUAGGUAGGAACCCCUUCCAAUUGUAUCUCAUACAACUCUAGAAAAUUCAAUUGGGGUGAAUAACUCCUAUCCAAUCCAUCAUAUGGAUUAUCCAACUCUUGCUUCUAAACAUAUAUAAGAAAAUAUAAUCAAGUUGACUCAUGUUUUAGCAGUUGGAUAUUACAAUUAUCCAUCGCACCUUAACUAAUCAAAACAUGCACUCAUGCUAGUAGGCAAAACCUACAAUUUAUUCCGGACUAUCCGAUCCUUCGAUGAGUCCUAAAACUUGGAAAAGCCAAACAUAUAUAAACUCCNNNNNNNNNNNNNNNNNNNNNNNNNNNNNNNNNNNNNNNNNNNNNNNNNNNNNNNNNNNNNNNNNNNNNNNNNNNNNNNNNNNNNNNNNNNNNNNNNNNNAAAUUAAGAUCAUUCAUUCAUUUUGGGAGAUGGAAUGUACAUUCCAUCAAUCCCCUAAAUCCAAUGAUCUUAACCUAGAAAAGUCAAAUCAACCUUGACCAAGGCCCAACAACACAAGUCAAACUUACCAAAUCAAAUAAAAUGGCUCCCCACAAUUAUUUGGUAUUUAUUCAAUUUAAAAAAAUACUAAAAAUAAUGCAUUAAAUUAAAUAUGGUUGGUCAAAUUCCUAAAACCUCAUCAAAACACCAAAGAAAUGGCCAUGAGAUUUAUCAUAGGUUAAACAAGGUCAAAGGACCUUGGAGAAAAAUUUUCAGAAUUUUUGAAAACUUAAAAGUAUUUUUAAACAAUCAAAAAUAAUCACAAAAUCAAUUAAAUCAUGAAAAAUAUUAAUAAUGAUCCAAAAAAUAAUUUAAAUUCAGAAUAUGAAAGAGGAUUUUAUUUAAAUUUUUUUGGUGAAACUCUCAUAUUUUUUGGAUCAAUAUUAAAAUUAAUAUGAAUUAAUGAAAAUCAAAGGAAUAAAAUGAAAAUCAGAAAAUACAUAAAGAGGAUUUUAUUUAAAUUUUUUUGGUGAAACUCUCAUAUUUUUUGGAUCAAUAUUAAAAUUAAUAUGAAUUAAUGAAAAUCAAAGGAAUAAAAUGAAAAUCAGAAAAUACAAAAAAACGUGGACGACUUGAUCUCCCUCAUUAAUUGAGGUGGCAGAUCAAGUGGCCACAAACGCGCGUUCCAUGAUGGAACUCAGUCAGCGCGCCAUACAAGUGGUAAACAAAACCAACGCCUGUGAUUAAAAUAUUUUAAAUAAAAUCAAUGGCUCUGAACCACGCCACAUCACCUCUGGAGCCAAAGGCCAGUCACCUUCUCAGGCGAACCUCGUCGGACUGGUUCAAUCAUCACCAUGACAAAAAUGAAAAAGGAGGACAUGAUCUGAAAGAAAAAAUAGCGAAGAGCACGAAUCUGACCUCAAUUUCAACUAACUCCAAAUAUAUAGAAAGAUAUGAGGAGUUGAAUUUUGAGGUGUGUCAACUGAGUUGCUUCGAUUUGACCGCAAAGCAACUCAAUCUUCUUGCCUACAUUGGUAGGACUUCAGACAACCAAAUAUCCAAGAGAAUUGAUGAGAAUUGAGUGAGAAUCGAAGAGAAGAAGUUUUCUGAAAUUUCCUCCAUGCCAGGCCUGUUAACACCAUGCGCAGCCCUAGCAAACCUCAUCCUAAAUGAGUGAAUUAGGACUCUUUAGAAAGAUUAUAUCAAGACGAACAAUUCUCAUGUUGAACACUUUUCCAUUUGGAACUCGUAUCAUGGUGAAUUUUGAGGUGGAAGUUUGGAAAUUUCAACAUGUUGAAAAGUUUUCUAAGUGUCAAGUCAUAUACUUCAAUAUUCCACCUUACUUAACAUUUUAUGUGAGCUCCAAAUAAGAAAAGUGUCUUCAUCAAUGUUGUAGAUAUUUCAAAUACCUUCAAAAUUGUCACCAAGUUGAUAUCAUUUGGAUUUAGAAUGAGAGAGUUAUGCAUUUUUGAAGUUGUGGAAAAUCACGUGUUCAAUGGUAUUGGUCCAAAAUGACCUAUAAUGUAUCCUCAUAUCACAUGCUCAUAAAAGUUGAUUUAGAUCUCACUCCAAACAUCAAAGUUUAAUUAGACAUCUUGAAUUUUAUUUUUCAACUUGGAAAUCUUUCACCUUAUAAAAAUUGAGCAAGUUAUGGCCUUGGGAAGUUGACUUUAAAAUUAGGGUUUAGACAAAAUGACCUAUUAUGUUUCAACAUAGAAAGUGAUUUUCCAAUCUAAACUAGCUCUAGACCUCAACAUGAAAGUUGUUUGUAAUUUCAUUUAUAGUAACUUUUCUCUUGUAAUAAUUUUCAUAUGAUGAAAAUUGUAGGAGAUAGGGUCUACGGAGACCCAAUUUUGAUCAGAUGAAUUCAUCUAGCCAACCACCAUCAACCAACUUGCUAACUUGAAAUUAUCUUGACUUUUUAGGUUCAUGGUAGAUCAUAUAUGUAUAAUAUGAUGAAUUUUGAAGUGUCCCUUUGAGGAAUUUGAUCAAUUGGUGAGGAAGCUUGUUGAAGAAGUUACUCAAGAUACCCAAAUAAACUAGGGUUUCCAAGGCAAACCAACUCCAAAAUAUUGAAGAAACCUUGAUAAAAACAACAUGCAAAGAUCAUUGGGACUAAUAUAUGAUGCUUAGAGACAUUGUGGAUCAUUCCUUGGUUGUGCUCUUAGCAAUGAAGGUCUUAAACCCUAGAUAUGAACUUGAUAGAUCAAUGGUGAUCAUGCCCUUCCUACAAAAGAGUUAGGCAAAUAACAAAGACAUAUUUUUGGUAUUUUAGUUAGUGAAAUGAUAAUAUACAAGUAUGAUACAAUCACAUGGUACUUGGUGAUCUCUCCCAAAACAAACCCAAUGAAAAAGGGGUAAGGAGGAUGCCAAUGUGUGAUCCCAAUGCUAGUGCAUAUGAUGAAAUUGCAUGAGGGAUCUUAGGGUCAAAUUUGGGGUUUUACAGUGAGCAUCAUGGAUCCUCCAGAGAAAACCUUCCUUAUCACAUAUGGCCCUUCAUAAUUCGGAGUCCACUUGCCCCGGGGAUCAGACCGAGGGAGAAUAAUUCUUUUCAACACAAGGUCACCAGCUUGGUAACUCCGAGGAUGAACUUUUCAAUCGAACGAUUUCUUCAUUCGCUUUUGAUAUAACUGCCCAUGGCAUAUAGCAGCCAUUCUCUUCUCUUCAGUGAGAUUAUCGAAUAUGUUUUGCACCCACUCGGCCUCGUCGAGUUUUACAUCUGUCAUCAAUCUUAAGGAAGGGAAUUCAACUUCGACGGGUAAAACUUCCUCCAUGCCAUAGACCAAUGAAAACGGAGUUUCCCUAGUUGAGGUACAUACCUAAGUCCGGUAACCGUACAGAGCGAAUGGUAACAUCUCAUGCCAGUCCUUGUAGGUCACCACCAUUUUUUGCACUAUUUUCUUUAUGUUCUAAUUGGCUGCCUCCACUGCCCCAUUCAUCUUUGGACAGUAAGGAGAGGAAUUAUGAUGUUGAAUCUUGAAACUCUUGCACAACUUUGUCAUCAUAUUGUUGUUGAGAUUGGACCCAUUGUUUGUUAUGAUCUUCUCGGGGAUCCCAUAACGACAAAUGAUAUUGUGCUUGAUAAAAAGAGGUACCACCUGCUUAGUUACGUUGGCAUAGGAGGAAGCUUCCACCCAUUUGGUGAAGUAAUCAAUAGCUACUAGGAUGAAGCGAUGUCCAUUUGAAGACGUAGGCUCAAUGCAUCCGAUCAUAUCGAUAUCCCAUGUUCCGAAAGGUGAUCGAUAAAAUAGCAAGUGUACUAUUUUGCCAAUGUAGUAAUAAUAGGGAUGUUUCCUAAAUAUCGAUGUCGAGGACUACGUAGUAAUAUUAUUUUAAAACGUGUGGUUCAAUUCAACAAAACAGAAGUUUUAAGGUUUGGAAUAAAUCCGCACUAAUAUUGACUUAGGCAGAAUGCAAAAUAUAGCUUUUGCAGAAAUAUGAAAAUUAUGCCAAGGUACGGUGUGUGACUAUUUCCUGCAAUGACCUUGAAUGUAACUCUCCUCAACCAGUUUAAAUAUUCAAUUACCGGAUCUUAAAAUGUUUUCCUCCUAAAACCUUAGAGGGAAACCUUUGGUCAUUCAUUCUAAAACCUAAGUCCUUAGAGAAAUAUGAAGAAACCAAGUGUUUUCAAAUAAUGAUAUGUCUCAUGACUGUAUAUAAAAUAUAGUCUAUCGGGUACUUGACUGCAAGUGCACAGUCCAGUCGUUUUAGUUUUAAAAGAUAUCAAACCCACAAGGACCAAUGGUCAAACUAAUGCUACCACGUUACUAUGUUUAGCUAAGGGAACAAUUUUUAGAAGUUCGGUUGAAGAAAAUUAAAUCUAAGGAAAGUUAAGUUUUAAGAAAAUAGUAAUAGAAGGAUAUCAGUAUGCAACGCAGUAAUCGUCAGGGAUUCGAUAAGUCACCGGUGUAUAAUUUAAGUACCAAAUAUCUUGCAGUAGAAAAUACUUAUUUAAAAGGCUUUAUCUCACACUCUCGUGAUUGUUGAUUUGGACUAUACCUUUAAGUGAGAAUGUACGCUCUCGCUAUCCCAUUUGAAGUUAAAAAUACUUUUUGAAAAUAAAUAAGUUCUAAUUGCUUUUAAAGUGCUCUCGCUGUUUUUAAUAUCAAUGCCUAGUUUUUACUAUCCAGUUCAACCCUCACGCUCUCGCGAUUGUCGGUUCUCAGCUUAGUUAAUUUCCGACUCUCGUGGAAAAAUCGUAUUAAAUAGCUUCUCACUCUUGUGACAAAGUUAAUUAAAUUUAAAUUAAAAACCACAGCCAAAAAGAUUGUUUGAGGAAAGAAGUUUUACACCGAUUAUUAUUAAAUCUUGUCUAAUAAAUUGUUACAUAUCGAUAUCGAUAGUUUAGCCGGACAUGUUAAACAACGAAGACACAAACGAAGAUAAACAGAUCAACAAUAAAGAAAACAUGAUUACAAUAUUAAUAAAUCAAUAACAAUUUAAUAAAAACCUGGAAAUUAGAUUAAUAGAAUACGCCGAAUCUUGAAGUACAUGAGCAGUCCUCCAUAGGUCGGUAGGAUUCUGCCUCUUCGAAGUAAUAGCUUAAAUUAAAUUAAAUAAAUUGUAGUAGUUCCCUAGUGUAGGAAACUACUACUUUGGCUAGAUGAAAAGCGGAAAGGAAAAAGGGAAAAUCAAAGCUCUGAACGGUAAAAGAAAAUAAUGUUGCUGAAGAAAAAUAAAAGACAAAAAUAGAAUUGUUGUGAAAAAAUGAAGAUAGAAAAAGGUCUUCAAAGCUGGCUUCAGAGAGGAAAAAUUAAGCGUCCCCGUAGGUUUCCAACUUCCAUCCUUUUUAUAUCCCCCAUUAGGUCAUGGCAGUUGAGAGAAACAAGGAUGACUUGGUUGAGUGAGGAAUCCACGGGAAAGUGGCUGAGGAACGAGAAUUAAGGGUUUGUUGGAUCACUUCUAUUGACAGUUUCAAAGUGUUGAUUUUGGCCGCGUGACGUUUGUGAUUGGCUUGUGACGGUCGUGACAGGCUGGGUGUCACGGUUGUGACAUGCUUUGUGACAGUCGUCACAUUCACAAAGUUUGCAUUCUCUUUUUUUCUGUUUUUCUGCUGCUUUCUCUUUUGUUUCUUCUUCUUUUCCUUCCUUUUCUAUAUUUUGCUCAUUUAAGCAUGGGGAUUGAAAUACCUGCGAAAAUAACUCGAACACUUGCGGAAUAAUCGGAAUAUAAAUGAAAGAGGUACGAUUUUUGAGUGUAAAUCAAGGCAAAUAUACAAUGUAUUUUCGCGUUAUUAAACUCCCAUAAACUUGAAUCUUUGUUUGUCCUCAAGCAAAUAAAAUUUGAAAACACUAGUUAAACGCGAAUACAUAACACAUUUCCAAUUCGUACAUGGUUGUUAGGUGCUUCGUUAAGAUGACAUAUACUCAAGUAAAACACUAAAGAUAUAGUGACGACACAAGCAAUAACCAUUAACAUAGAUCUCUCCUUUGAUACAAACCAGUUCGAAUCAUGAUAUUAUAGCUCAACCUAAUGCUUCUCGUUCCUAUUUCACCCGGUUUCAUUCUAGCGCAAUCACAUUAAGCCCUUUGCCUUUACACGCACUUAAUGAAGUAGAUGGUUAGUGACUUUGAUCCUUUUUUAGCACGGGGUCUGGUACACUAGUGUGGUACCACUUCAUAUAUCCCAUUUGAAGGUUGUGGGGGAUCAACGUAGUUCGCCCUACCGAGUCUAGUACUAGGUACCUCUGAACCAACUAGUUGGGUUUUUCUGUUCCUUCCUUUUGUAUAUCUUACAACCGUUUGUAUGGUGCAUUUUUCAAUUUCUUUGGCAAAAGUAUGAAGGAUCUUCUUAAUUCGUAGGCAUCAAUCACUUAUAUUCAUCGGCUCUUCAUAUGGUUUGUGUUUAAGACAGUGUUGACUGCUAGUAUAAACUAUUAGGGGUUAAUCUAGAAUGGAGACUUUAGGUAUCGGUAUAAUGGGUAUUCAAACUGAUCUCGUAAAAGUGAGCGAUCUAAGGUGUCAGGAUGGUAUUAAUCUUGUUAGAUUUUUCUCAGUUUCCUAACAUUGUUAUGGCUAAAAACAGAAACAAGUAAAGGAAAGACAAGGAUUUCCUCCCACACUUAAACAAAGCAUUGUCCUCAAUGCGACAAUAUAAGGAAAAGGGAAGAAACACGAAGAUCACUACUCGCCGUCACGACGUUGGGCUCUGCGCACUCUAGCUCUUGCUCAUGCACGCUCACUUCUUCCACGCUAGGUAGGAUCCAACCCCACAUGCUAAGUGUACUCCUGGAUGGCAUCAACGCGAUGUGUCAGGGCACUCAUCUCUUCGGAAAGCUCCUCCAUCCCCUGGUUGUUCCAGUUCGCAUAGUCAUCUUGAUCCCUCUGUAUCUGCUGAACCGUUUGCAUCAUUUCUGUUUGGAACUCCUCCAUCCUCUGCUUGUGUUGCAACAUCUCAGCGUAGAUGUCUUCCAUGGUGGCAGGUCGUAGCUCAUUUCUUCGCCGGCCUCGGGAAGAUGUCUCUGCAGCAUACUCAGGAGGUGGUUGUGGCAUUUCUCGGUCAAGUUCCUCUUCGACUUCAUCUGCUCCAUUAUUAGGAUCUCCUUCAUUGGGCUCAGGAGCGUUCAAAUCAAAAAUCCAAUUCGCCAUAUUCUGCGGAUCUGUACGGUUCCCGUUGGGCAUAAUGAUGCUUCGAACUAUCUUAUUCCUAACCACAGGAUGGUACUUCCCGUCGUCUUUGGCCUUGAUGAGGUGUGAGGAAUGGCAAUAGUCAAUAUUGAGGAACUCGGCUGGCAAGGCGGGUCAGUCGGCGAGCCUAUCCCCCAGAUUCAGGCCUAAUGCUAUGGAGGUGAUGAUUCCUCCAAAACAGAAUGCCUGGCUGCCUCUCAUGCAUGUAGCCUGUAUGUUGGCCAACAAGAAUGGGGUGGCAUUGAAUGCCACCGGGGUGAACAUACAGUGAAGAAAUAAGAGCUCCUUAGAGUUUACCUUGUGAUUGUCAACUCUUCCGAAAACCAUGUGCCCUAAGACUCGGUGGAAAUAUCUUAUAGUUGGGUUGUGGAUGUAAGUUGCGUUGAGCGCAUCCCAGCUUGUGACGUUCAUGUUGGUAAGGCUAUGCCACACUCCAAAUUCUAUUUCUGACCAUCCGUCAAGGAUACAACAGUGAACUCCCUCUCCAUGUCGGAAGUCAAGCAUUCGUGCUAUUUGAGUUUGGUUCAGGGAAUACUCGGUAUCGAACAUUCUAAAUAUGGAGGCUCCGGUGAGAAACUGAGUUGCACCAGAAGGGGUAAUGUAGGAGAAUGAACUCAGGAAUUCCAAGGUCAGCGCCUCAUAAGUUGGUUGCGGGUUGGUGCAAAGUUGCGUCAAACUAGAGUUGUUCAGCAUCCAUUCUACGCCAUCUGAAAGUCCCAGCUCCGUCAAACAGUCGUUAUCAGCAUACCUCAUAGCUUGGACUGAACGUUGAUAGAACCUGAGGUAGUUGUCUCUCUGUCGCUCGCCGGAUUCUCCUUCUCUGAAUAUGAUAUUUGAGAGGCUGGGAGCAGCUCUCUCUUGACAGGCCAUUUAGUGUGCGAAUAUGAAAAUAUAGGUUUUGGUGGGAGAGAUGGAUUUCGUGAGUUAUAAGGUACUCACAUGUUUCUCGCUUAAAAGGAUGUGAAGAAAGGGUUAAUGGAGAAAAGAGUGGUAUGAGUGGGAUGGUUAAGUAAAGUAGAAUGAUUAGAUGAGGAAGAAGAAAGGAAGUGCGCCUGUUUUUAUAGGCGAGCCUUCUGGAUCUGUGACGAUCGUCACAGGGAUGUUACGGUCGUCAGACGUAACGGUCUUGCGUAACAGUCAUCUGCAAUGGUCAUCUGUGUGUAACGGUCAUAUAUUUCAUGUGUGACGGGCGUAGCGUUUCUGUGACGGGCGUCACGCCUCUGUGACGGGCGUAACACUGCAUGUGACGCUCGUCACAUGCAACGGUCACAACUUUUGCAAUCACGCCUCUAAUAACAUCUAUACUUCAUCCUUGACUAUUGUACUUAAGAUUUGGUUGAUCAUUCUCUGGUGUUCUCUAGAGGUUUUACAAUCUUCCUCUAGUAUAAUGUGAUGCAUACAGAUAAAAGGACUUAUUCCUUUUUGGUCAGCGAUGUUGUAGCCUAACGCAGUUGGAUAUUCUCUUAAGACAUCUAGUAACUUUUCAGUCAAACUUUUAAUUAUCCUCGAUUUCCAUGGACACUUAUCAAUCCAUCUCUCAUAUUUGUCACCUUUUCUUCUUUUUCUUCUGCGAGGUAAUUUAUCCUUCUGAACUUGUGGUGGUGGUUCUAGCUCUAUCCUGAGAGCUACUUUUUCAGGCUUAGGUUCAAUUUUUGCAUCCACCACCUCAAAGUCUGGUUUUCCCCUUUUAAUGCUAAUGAGUUCCCUAGUUUCAUGGUUUUCUAAUUUUCUCUUCUUGUUCAGGGUCUCAAAUAAAGGUGCAUUGGUGUGGAUAUUUUCCGAUAGCUCUUCAUAUCUUUCGGAUUUGGGGUCUACCUUGACUUCCACAGACCUUCGCGGGAAAGGAAUUUGGUUGAUUUAUAGGAGGAGGAAAACACAUAGUUCUUCCUUCUCUACCUCUUUGACAACCUCCCUCUUGGGUGGUGCCAGUGGUUCUUUCUUAAGCUCUACUCUUUUCUCACCUGAACCCUCCUCAUUAUCACUCUCCUUAGGAUUUUCGGUAAAUUUUUCACUGGUGAUUGUUACAACAUCUGCAUUUUCUCUGGGAAUGGUCCUAGAGAUGUCGCGUGGUAAGAAGGGAGAUUUAAGUCUCAAAUGCCUCAUUGCGAGUGACGAGGGACUCGACCACAAUGUUCAGUUGCGUAAGGGUUUCAUUGGUAUAGAGACUUUGUUUUCUAAAUUCUUCAUUCUGAAGAGUUUGUGUAGCCACAAAGCGUUCCAUCAUAGAUUCUAUCCUAGAGUGAGUUUGCAUCUCAAUGAAAUCCUCCAUUAAUAUUUCCAGGUUGGAUUUAUAGGAAUCUUACGAUUCCUCAAAAUACUGGGAGUGAUAAUCGUAGAGAAAGUUUGGGUAUACAUAGUAAUAGAGAAAAGAGUGCCUUAGUCUAUACUGGGCAACGAAAGAGUCACACUAAUUGACUAAAUCAGUUCCCCGACAACGGCACCAAAAACUUGAUACGUCUCGUGAUUGUAUAUAGAAUAUAGUCGAUCGGUUACUUGACUGCAAGUGCACAGUCCAUUCGUUUUACUUUUAAAAGAUAUUGAACCCACAAGGACCGAUGGUCAAACUAAUGCUACCGACGUUACUAUGUUUAGCUAAGGGAACGUUUUUUAGAAGUUUGGUUGAAGAAAAUUAAAACUAAGGGAAGUUAAGUUUUAAGAAAAUAUUAAUAGAAGGAUAUCAGUAUGCAACGCAUUAAUCGUCAGGAAUUCGAUAAGUCACUGGUGUAUAAUUUAAGUACCAAAUAUCUUUUAGUAGAAAAUACUUAUUUAAAAGGAUUAAGCUCACACUCUCGUGAUUGUUGAUUUGGACUAUACCUUUAAGUCAGAAUGUACGCUCUCGCUGUCCCAUUUGAAGUUAAAAAUACUUUUUGAAAAUAAAUAAGUUCUAAUUGCUUUUAAAGUCCUCUCACUGUUUUUAAAAUCAAUGCCUAGUUUUUACUAUCCAGUUUGACCCUCACGCUCUCGCGAUUGUCGGUUCUCACCUUAGUUAAUUUCCCACUCUCGUGGCAAAAUCAUAUUAAAUAGCUUCUCACUCUUGUGAGAAAUUUAAUUAAAUUUAAAUUAAAAACCAUAGCCAAAAAGAUUGUUUGAGGAAAGAAGUUUUACACCGAUUAUUAUUAAAUCCCGUCUAAUUAAAUCAUUACAUACCGAUACCGGUAGUUUAGUCGGACAUGUUAAACAACGCAAACACAGACGAACAUAAACAGAUCAAUAAUAAAGCAAACAUGAUUACAAUAUUAAUAAAGCAAUAACAAUUUAAUAAAAACCUGGAAAUUAGAUUAAUAGAAUACGCCGAAUUUUGAAGUACUUGAGCAGUCCUCCACAGGUCGGUAGGAUUCUGCCUCUUCGAAGUAAUAGCUUAAACUAAAUUAAAUAAAUUAUAGUAGUUCCCUAGUGUAGGAAACUACUACUUUGGGUAGAUGAAAAGCGGAAAGGAAAAAGGGAAAAUCAAAGCUCUGAAUGGUAAAAGAAAAUAAUGUUGCUGAAGAAAAAUAAAAGACAAAAAUAGAAUUGUUGUGAAAAAAUGCAGAGAGAAAAAUGUCUGCAAAGCUGGCUUCAGAGAGAAAAAUUAAGCGUCCCCGUAGGUUUCCAACUUCCAUCCUUUUAUAUCCCCCAUUAGGUCAUGGCAGUUGAGAGAAACAAGGAUGACUUGGUUGAGUGAGGAAUCCAUAGGAAAGUGGCUGAGGAACGAUAAUUAAGGGCUUGUUGGAUCAUUUUUGUUGACAGUUUCAAAACGCUGAUUUUGGCCGCGUGACGUUUGUGAUGGGCCUGUGCCGGUCGUGACAGGCUGGGUGUGACGGUCGUCACAUUCACAAAGUUUGUAUUCUCUGUUUUGCUGUUUUUCUGUUGCUUUCUCUUCUGUUUCUUCUUCUUUUCCUUCCAUUUCUAUACUUUGUUCAUUUAAGCAUGGGGAUUGAAAUACUUGCAAAAAUAACUCGAACACUUGCGAAAUAAUCGAAAUAUAAAUGAAAGUGGUACGAUUUUUUAGUGUAAAUCAAGGCAAAUAUACAAUUUAUUUUCGCGUUAUCAAAUAACAAGAUAUAACCAGUAACCAUAGGGUAUCCCUAGUCCCAGGUGAUAUCUACUAUAGUUUAAUUAUGCAAAAACCUUAACAAUUGCAAUCCCGCAAAUUUUUAACCAUAUAACAAUCCUUAUUUUUCUGAUAACGAAAGCAUUAAUAAUAUUGCACAGUUAAAUUGAAUAAUAAAUAUAAAUUGAGGGAGUUAACAAUUCAAAGUCAUUACAUGAUCAAAUCAAGGACACCCCCUGGAAUUGGGGGGUUUAGCCGCUCAUAUUAUUCAAAGAAAAUACAAUAUUCAAAUUAGACAUUACAAGAAAUGGGGAUUCCGUUGAUCUUCAAUCGCGUUCACUCUUGAAGGACCUCCGUUCGCCGAAACUCUUGAUCAUACCAAUCUCAAUCGUCUCAAUCUUUCGCGUGCAAACAGUCCCUUUUCUUUUCCUCAAAAAGUACCCUAAAUAGUCACUAAUCAAUUAAUUGUGAUGCAUGGCUCGUGUGCAUGAAGUUUGAACUCUCCUUGAAUGGGCCUGUACAGGCGCAUGUAAGGCCCAAGAAUGAAUGCAAAUCCAUGCUGAGAUCAAAUGUAAGUGAGUUCGACGUGCACAAGGCCUAGCAUUUGCUUGCACAUGAAGUUAUAAUGUGAGUUGCAAAAAUGAACAUAAACAUUAAGCUCUUCGAAACUCACUCAUGGAAAGUCCAAAAAAUUAAUGUGAGUAAUGGUUUGAAAGCCCUUGAAAUAAGGAAAAAAAGUCAUGUUGGGAAAAAAUUCAUUUGGCAAUUGGAAAUUUAUGAAAACUGGCUGUGACGGUUUGGGUACAAAACAUGUCUAGGUUCCCUUUGAAAUUUUUUACCAAAAGCAAGCAUCUUCAAGCCCUUCUGGUUCAUUGAUGAAAGCCUCAAAGGGAAAAACCUCCAACAUCAAAGUUGUAUAUCUCUUCAAGAUGAUCAACUUAGACUUAAAUUUUGCAUCAUUUGGAUUUUUGAUGAGAAAGGUAUGGGUACUUGAAGUUGGACAUUUUCAAAUUCAAUGGCUUAGGUCCAAAGUGACCUAUAAUGUUUUGUAUUAUCACAUGUAUUUAUUUUUGGAUUAUGAAAUUUUAUCCAAAAUAACAUUUUAAUUAGACAUCUUAAUAUUCCAAUUCAAUUGGUCUCACCUCAAAAUCAUAAAAAUUAAAGAAGUUAGGUCCUUGGGAAGUUGACAAAAAAUUAGGGUUUCAGUCAAAAUGACCUAUAAUGUUUUGAAAUGAAUGAUGACCUUCCAAGUUUCAAAUGGAUUUUUUAUAAAGAUUAAAGUUGGUCAUACGGUUCUUAAUAACAUUUUUUCUCCUAGGGUCAUCUUCAUUUGGCAAACACAUCAAAAGUUGUAUCUCAGUGAUCCUCAGUUUAGUCAGAUGACUUGACUGGUCAAUUUCUCAAGGCCAAACUUCAAAUCUUGAUGAAUGAAUGAUUGAGGAUCCUCAAAUAAGCUCAUGUAUGCAUAGAAUAAUGAAUGAAAGAACUUACAUUGAUUAAAUUUGAUCAUAGGUUGAGGUUGCUUCAUGAGCAAGGCACAGUCAAAGCAUAGUUGAAUUAGGGUUUCCUUGGGAACAAACCUCAAGCCAUUUGGGUUAUCUUGAUCAAAUUGGAAAAUUGAGAUACUUGGGAGACAUAUAUGAUGAUUAGGAGAUUUUUGAACCAUUGUCAUGCCUUUUCUCAUCUUCAUCUAGCCACUUCAUUGAGCUUAGGAGCCUCCUAGGAGCAUAGGAGCACAUGAUCACUUGAGCUUCAAAACAAAAAGGGUUAGUGACAUAUUUUUGUCCUUUUGGUUAGUAAACAAAAUAAGAAAAGCAAAAAUAUACAAUACAAGCAUGCUUGGUGGUCUCAAAGCAACCACACAAGUCCCACCCCUAGGGUUAAGGAGCCACACAUGCUAUGAUCCUUGAGGCAAUGCAUUGAGCAAAUGAUAUGAUGCCAUGAGGGAUCUUAGGGUCAAAAUUAGGGUCUUAUAGAUGCCCCUAUUUAAGGUCAUUCUAUUCGGAGAUAUGAAGGUUAAAAUCUUCGUCUUGACGAGGUAGAAUGAGCUUAAAUAAUAACAAAGAGACGAAUUUUGGUCCCUAAGGCACCUCAUGAUGCAAAUGUAUGCAUGCAAAAUAAAAUCUUCAUGGUGAAUAAUUGCCACAAAGGAAAAGAAAUCGGGAGAAACUGAAAAAUCCAUAGGAGUAACACACGCACUAGGGAGACAGAGACUCUGGGGGAAAUAAGGUAAAAAUGCGUGAGCAGGUCGCGACUUGAAAACUUGCUGGGAGACACGAAGGGAUUCCAUGAAAAUAAAUUGAUGGAAAGACUCGAGCUGACGCAAAGAUGCGUGUAUUGGGGAAUAUGCCAAUACAGCAAAACCAUCCACAAAGGAUACCUUAGAUAAAAAUCCGGACUCAGACGGGGAUGUCCACAAAGGACUCAGCUGAGGAAGAAACAACGAGAUAUUACCGGUUACCGGGUAAUAAACUCAAAGAGAGACAUGUUUUCAAAAACACUGGUUACUGGGUAAGAGAACAACAUGCUCAGGGAGAAAGAAUAUCUAAGACCAAUAUAAUGGUGAGAGAUAUCAAUCAUCCGAAACAUCUGAGGAGGACCCAAAAGGCACAUCUCAACUCAGGAAAAUCUGACUCCACAGGGGACAAAAAGUCAUAAUAGGGAGCAGAAGGAAGGAACACCAUGGAUACAGGUUAUUGGGUGUAUAUUGGGAACAAAUCUAAGACACUCAUCACCCGAAAGGAGGGCUAAAAAAGCAAACUCGACUUACAGGAUGGGCAUUCGAUUCCACAAGGAAAUACGAAUCUUACUCGACUGGGGAAGAAAGAGACUUAGACUGAAGAGCGCAUGAGAUAUAUUAUCUAUUAUCGUCAUAACAUAGAUAACAUACUCGCAUGGAAGAUUAUCCACAACUAGUUACUGGGUUAAUGAAGGAUAAAUCGACCGAAAAGAAAGGACAUCGGGAUGCCGGUUACUGGGUAUAAAAUGAUGACCGAUCAAAAGGAGAAACGAUCAUUACCAAAUAAGGGUAAAUGAAAGAUGACUCGGCGGGGAUGAAUUGCUUGAUAAAAGUAAUUAUCAAAGAGAUAUAUCACCGGUUACUGGGUGGUAUACUCAAAACGAAGGAAUAUCAAUACCGGUUACUGGGUAAAGAUAACCAGCAAAGAGGGGAUUACAUCUAUCGGUUACUAGGUAGAAAACCACGGAAAUAGGACUUACAACUACCGGUUACUGGGUAGAAGGCCACUGAAAUCCACUGGGGAAAAGAAUGAACUAUUACUGGUUUCUGAGCAAUUGAACAACUGAACCACGGGGAACUGCCGGGGAUAACAAGAAAGAAGAGUCAAUCCAGGAACAAACUAGAAAGACACGGUUAAACAAGACUCAACCCAAUGAGGAUAUAACUCAGGGGAGCAAUUCCAUCCCGAUACUCAACUUGGGGAGGAAACUGAAACAAUAAUCAUCCAUGAGUACAUAACUCAGUGAGGAAUAAAGAAAGAAAGAUAGACACUUUUGUAAGACCCUAUUUUUGACCCUAAGACCCUUCAUGGCAUCAUACCAUUUGCUCAAUGCAUUGCCUCAAGGAUCAUAGCAUGUGCGGCUCCUUUACCCUAGGGUUGGGACUUGUGUGACUGGUUUGAGAUCACCAAGCAUGCUUGUAUUGUAUAUUAUUUCUUUUCUUACUUUGUUUACUAACCAAAAGCACAAAAAUAUGUCACUAACUCUUUUUUUUUUGAAGCUCAAGUGAUCAUAUGCUCCCCUGCUCCUAAGAGGCUCCUAAGCUUAAUGAAGUGGCUAGAUGAAGAUGAAAACAAGCAUGACAAUUAUCCACAAAGUUCCUAAUCAUCAUAUAUGUCUCCCAAGUAUCUCAAUUUGCCAAUUUGAUCAAGAUAACCCAAAGGGCUUGAAGAUUGUUAAUUCAACUAUGCAUUGACUAUGCCUUGCUCAUGAAGCAACCUCGACCUAUGAUCAAAUUCAAUCAAGAGAAGUUCUUUCAUUCAUUAUUUUAUGCAUAUAUGAGCUUAUGUGAGUAUCCUCAAUCAUUCGUUCAUCAAGAUUUGAUGUUUGGCCUUGAGAAGUUGACCAGUCAAUUCAUCUAACUAAACUGAGGAUCACUAAGACACAACUUGUGAUGUAUUUGUCAAAUGAAGAUGACCCCCAGAGGAAAUAUGUUCUUAAUGACCAUAUGAACAACUUUCAUGUUCAUCAAAAAUCCAUUUGGAACUUGUAAGGUCAUCAUUCAUUUCAAAACAUUAUAGGUCAUUUUGACUGAAACCCUAAUUUUGGGUCAACUUCCCAAGGACCUAACUUCCUUAAUUUUUAUGAUUUUGAGGUAAGACCAAUUGCAUUGUAAAGCUUAAGAUGUCUAAUUCAAAUUUUAUGUUGGACAAAAUUUUAUAAUCCUAAAAUAAACACAUGUGAUAAUACAAAAUAUUAUAGGUCAUUCUGGACCAAAGCCAUUGAAUUUGAAAAAUGUCCAACUUCAAGUGCCCAUAACUUUAUCAUUAAAAAUCCAAAUGAUGCAAACUUUAAGUCUAAAUUGAUCAUCUUGAAAAUAUCUACAACUUUGUUAUUGAAGGUUGUUCCAUUUGAGAUUUGCAUCGUUGAAACAGAAGGGCUUGAAGUUGCUUAAUUUUGGCAAAUUUUUCAAAGACAUGUUUUGUACCCAAAACUUCGAAUCCAGUUUUCAUAAAUUUCGAAACUCCAAAUGGAUUUUUGCCUAACAUGAAUUUUGUUCCUUAUGUCAAGAGCUUUCCAACCAUUACUCACAUGACCAUUUUUGGAUUUUCCAUGUGGGAGUUUCGAAGAGGUGAAUGUUUAUGUUCAAUUUUGCAAUUCACAUUAUAACUUGAUGUACAAGCUAAUGCCAAGCCAGUUGCACGUCCAAAUCAUUUCUACUUGAGAUCAGCUUGCAUUUCCAUUCACUUUUGGGCCUCACAUGCGCCUGUACAGGCCCAUGCAUGGAGGACCCAAAACUCAUGCACACGAGCAUUGCACCUCAUUGCAUCAAGCUCAGCUAUAAAUAGAAGCUCUUCCUCAUUCAAAUUUCAACCUCAAGGUGAUCUGAAACUCUACUGGAUUGAAACCUCACCCUCACUCAAAGGAAUUGCAGUUUUCAUUUCUCAAUUUCAAGCUUGAAUUUCAACGUCCUUAGUUAAUCUUCAAGUCUUAAUUCCUUAGCCUUGCAUCAUCAUCACAUCUCCAGAUCAAAAUUGGAUCAAGAACUUGAGCAAAUCGUGUUGUUCAAAGCUGCAUUUAAGAGGUAUAUCACUAAACUAUUUGGAUCUGGAUUUUGAAAUACAAUGUGAAUUGCUUGAGUUUGAACUAUUUUCUGAAGUCCUCGAGCAAGAGGCAGGCCAGUGGUGGUCUAAUUUCAUGAAUUGUGACAUUUCAGAUCAAACACCAUGAUCUUCAAGCUCAGAUUUCUCAUUAGAUAGAAACUUUGAGGAAGAUCCAAGGUUACAGGGGUGAUGUACAUCACCCUAGCUUCAUUUUGAUACCAUUGUUUUUCAUUUUCAUUGAGGUUGAAAAACAUGCGCGUGGUGGCAGGAACCAGUUGGUUAGCUGGAGAAGAUGGUGGUUUCCACCACCAUCCCCACGUGGGAUCACCAGAGCCAUUGUAUGAUGUUCAAAUGUUAUAAUCGCGUCCCUUCAUUUGGCUGACUUAUUUUAAAUACAUAUGUUGCGCGCUUGACCAAGGAGCAUCGUGCAUCAACGCCUCUGGACCGUAUGAUGAUGCCACGUCAAUUAAUGAGACGGAUCCAAUGGCAACGCAUUUUUACUAUUUUUCUAUUUUCUGUUUUAAUUUCAUUAAUCCCUUUUAUUUUCAAAAAUUCAUAAAUAUUUUAUUUGAAGUCACAAAAAUAUGAGACCAACACCAAAAAAUUUCUUGAAAAAUCUAGUUUCAUAUCCUGAUUUUUAAUUAUUUUUGUGGCUUCAUUUAAUAUUUUUUGUGAAUUAUUUGGUUUUUAAUAGUUUUUAAGUCAUUUUAAAUUCUUUUUGAUAUCUGAAAAAUCCAAAAAUAUUUUUCUUACCAUAUAUGGAUCAUGAUAAGUCAAUGAAAAAUAGUCUCAUCAAUUUCUUAUUGGUUUGAGAUUUAUUUGAGAUUUUAAUUCAUUUGUGUUAUUUUUCAUUGUUUUUAAUUGUUUUAAAAUAGUUUCUGAUUUCAAAAAAUGUUGAGAAAAUUUGUCAAACUUUGUUUGACCAUGUUAGACCUAUGAAAAUUUAAUUGGACUUGUCUAAGUUGAUUUGAAUUGAAUUUGAGGUUUGACCAUAUUUUGUCCAUUUUAAUUUUGCAUUUAUUUUAAUUCCAAAAAUACCAAAAAAAAUAUGUUUAACUUGUUGACUUCCAAUCUUCAUUUCUCUUUUGUUUUACAUUGGUUGAUGAUGAUUUGAUUCACUUUUGACCAAUUGUGUUUGACACUUUAUUUCUUUAUCCAUUUCAUUUCAUCUUCAUCUCACUUUUUUAUUUUAUUUUGGCCAAUGAGUUAAUGUCUUAUGGUUGGUCUUGACAUAUGAGAGGCUUAAUCUUCUUUGAUCCAAAUCAAACUCAACUUGAUCCAAGAUCAAGUGAGUUGCUUUGUGUCCAAGAUAGGUUGCUUCUUGGUCAAGUAAAAAACCUAAAGUCCAUACAAGGCCUUCCUCUAUUCUUUUGGCAUGGCAAGUUGUAGGAGCUUGGCUUACUAGUCAUGAUCUCUAACUUGUGUUUAUUUGCCUAUAGUUUUAUUGAUCGACCUCAAAUAGGUGUGACUACUACAUUAGUCCACUUACGAUUGCUUAACAUAGCGCUAAAUUGUCUUAUGACACACUAACAUUAACCAUACUAACUACUAACUUUAAUUUGAGCAUUUAAUUUCUUACAUUAGUCCACUUACGAUUGCUUAACAUAGCGCUAAAUUGUCUUAUGACACACUAACAUUAACCAUACUAACUACUAACUUUAAUUUGAGCAUUUAAUUUCUUGCAAUUUACUUUAAUGCAAUUUAUUUGUUUGCUCAUUUAUUCAUAUUGCUUUUUUCCUUUGCUCACUUGAGCACAUAUUUUAUGUUUAUGCCAUUUUCCUUUUGCUCAUUUGAGCUCAUUAUUGUAUAUAAAAUAUAUUGUUAUUUUGUGUUGGUUUUGUCUUUGUUUGUGUGAAAUCAAUGCAAAAAAAAGAAAAAGGACUUAGAAUUAGGACUUUACCCUGCUUAAAGGAGUUCAAGAGCAAGUAGACCUCAUGCCUUUAGAAUGCUAAAUUUGUUGAAGAGCAACUAGGCCUCAAACCUUUAGAAUGCUCAAUUUAAAAGUUGACUUCAAAGGACCCCUAAUCUAAACUCAUUCUUUGUCCAUUCCUCUUAUUGUGUUGUAAACUUUUUGAUGUUUGCUCUUGUGUGAUAGGGACUCCAUCUUGAGAUAGUAAGAAGGACCAUUGUCAUGAGUAGCCAAGUUAAGAGAGACAAGCCAAAUUGAGAUCCUAGGACCCUGAAUAUAAUAUUUGUUUGAUUGCUUGAGUGAUUGCUAAGUCCAAAGGAAAGGAGCAUCUUGAAUCAUUUCUAUGAUUUCAAGAAAAAGGAACUCCAAGGGUUUUACCUCUUCUCUUAUCUUUGCAUGUUUAGGACUAACCCUUCUCUUCUUCUCUCCACUCUAACCCAAGCCAAACUCACUUAUGUGCAAACUUUGACUUUGUUUCAAAUUAGAAACUUAGGGCUUAUGCCUUUGAUUUUUUUCAAAAUCUUUUCAUUAAUACUUAUUGUCAAUAAACAUUAAUUCAACUUUGAAUUCAUUUUGUAAAUAAAUCUAACUUGUAAAUAUAACUCACUUCAAGUUGUUUUUUUUGUGGUUCCAAUGGCCAUCUUUGUUAAAACCUUUUUAUAAACAUUAGUCAUAGGUUUGAGUUAUCAUAGUGGUUGAUGUAAACCUCACCUUAUCCUUAGUGAUUGGACUAUAAGUCUUCCAUACUUAUUAUAGGGUUAACCCUUCACUAGUAUGUUGAAGCCUCUCCUCACAUGGUGGAUUGUUGGUUUAGGUUGAGUUUUCUCCCUUUGAUAACAAAAGACCUUAAGGCUUUUGAUUAAAUCAAUUCACCAAUCUUUGAGAUUUUACCCCGAACUACGAGGUUUUAAUCCUACCUUUGUGAUGGUACGUAUGCAAUGGGUUCAUCCAUUCAAACAACAAAACUGUAAAUAUAAUAUCUCUUCUCAUCCCCACAAUUUUUUGCACAUAUUUUCACAAAUACCAACCUACAACACAUGUUUGCAAAAAGAGGUUCCCUUAGAGUACUAAGGAUGUUUUGGGUGCGUAAAACCUUCCCAUUUCAUAACCAACCCCCUUACCUAGAUCUUUGACAUUUUUAUUUGUUUUUGAUUUAAUAAAACUUCUUACUUGGCUUUUGUUCGCUUUUUUAGCCUUUCCUUUGGACAAAUAAAAGUGCGGUGGCGACUCGAAUUGUAUGUUGACUUUUGGUUUAGUCAAUAAACCAUAAGGUAAUGAAUACCCCGCUAUAACUUUCUGCCUAUGGGGACUGACUCUAUAUGGAGAGAUCAGACACAAACAUCUGCUUGGCGAAGAACAUUUCACUAAUAGUAGGAGACAACAAGCAAAGAUAUAUGGCAAAGAAUGCAAUCAUGAAUAUCUGAAUGCUAUGAUUAUGCAUAUAUAUGUGUGGUUUAUGCAUGAUUAAUGCUGACAGACAGACAUAUCUAACACAAACAGGCUCAAGAGCCACGAACGGACAUCCAACAUAAAAUCUUCACGGACAAGGGCCAGGCCCACAAGAGAAAUCAGCUCUGGUGAAGAUGCAUCAAAUACUGGGGAGACACCAAUCACCGUUGGGGAUAGGCAAAGUCACAAAUUCCAACUGCCAAGGACUCCUCAUCCAUUCUCGGGAACGAGUGGCUGAAGAUCGAUAAGAUCUUCCGUAGAAGAAACUCUACUAGGGAACUUAUCAAGGAGAGAUAUAGAAUUCUAUGGGGAACAAAUUCCAAACAGAUGCCCAUUCCAUCAAAACAUUCCCUUCUAACUGCUGGAGGGACAAUCUCUACUAAGGGGAGACAAAACAAUUUGUUCCGCUAGGGAAGGAGGCAACACAUCUUCCUCAGCAUCUCUCAAUACUUUGAAGAAAUCUUCAACCACAUAGGGGACACAAAUUAUCAAACUCGGGUCAGGCAAUUCUGCCAGGGAUAAAUUGUAGGCAACCCUCUAAGGAAACAUGUUGGGGAUAGAAGAGAAACAGAUCUUCCACCAACUGCUCUAAACCACUUCCUAAUGAGAGACAAACUGAAAGCUGAUGAAGAGGACAUAAACAUUCCAUAAUAUGAACAAAAUGUCUUACCUUUUGGAAAUCGUACUAUCCUUGGGAGAGCACUGAAGACGUUUCGACUAUCCUUUCCGUCAUUGUGAAUGUUCAUUUUGUUUAAAAAACAAUUCUAUAAAACUUUAUUUGUUUAAAACAAUGAUAUUUAUCAAUUAAAACAUGCAAACAUUUGUUAAACAAAAACAAAUAAGAGUGCCAAGAAUUGGAUAAAGGCUCAAAUUUAUUUAAUAGAAUGGUAGUCUGCAAAUGGCGAGACUCCAUGGAUCUUUACAAAUUUUAAAUUGGUGAUAUAUAUUGGAAAAAGGGCUACAUUGAACAUAAUGACCGUUUCUCCACCAACUCUGAAUACAAUGCAUUCGAAGCUUCAGUUGACGAUGACUGAGCGAGAAUCUUUGACAGAUGACUGUUGUAGAACAAAGUCUUGUCAGGAUGCAAUUACUUGCCAAAUCCCUAAUUUUUUGCCUAGAUUGCCCCAGGGUGAGUUACUCAAUCUAGCAGGAUAUAUAUUCAUUUUUAUGUCUCUAACUUUUUCCUGGACCGCCCUUUCGGGUUUUCAAUCCACCGAGACACUCAUUUUUUCCUAAGCUGCCCUUUCAGGUUUUCAACUUAGCGAGCCAUUCUGUUUUUAUUUUUAGGCGAAGUAUUUCUUGACUGCAUUUGAAUUCACAGGACGAGUGAAAUCCUCCCCAUCCAUAGUUGUAAGUAACAAAGCACCGCCUGAAAAGGCUCUCUUAACAACAUAUGGACCUUCAUAGUUUGGAGUCCACUUGCCCCUGGAAUCGGGGGCGAAAGGCAAGACUUUCUUGAGCACGAGGUCACCUUCUCGGAACACACGAGGCUUGACCUUCUUAUCAAAGGCUUUCUUCAUCCUUUGUUGAUACAACUGACCAUGACACAUGGCAGUUAAUCUCUUCUCUUCAAACUAUCAAAACGACUCUGGACCACUCAGCCUCAGUCAACUGGCUUCCAUCAAGACUCUCAUUGAUGGGAUCUCAACUCCACGGGAGCACAGCCUCCAUGCCAUAUAAUGAAGAAAGGGGUUGCCCUGUUGAAGUGUGGACAGAUGUACGAUAGCCAUGCAAAGCAAAUGGCAGCCAUCCAAUCUUUGUACGUAACAACCAUCUUCUGGAUAAUCUUCUUGAUGUUCUUGUUAGCAGCUUCAACAGCCCCAUUCAUCUUGGGUCUAUAGGGAGAAGAAUUAUGAUGUGCAAUCUUGAACUCGCUAUACAGCUCUUUCAUCAUUUUAUUUUUCAAGUUAGAUCCAUUAUCAGUAAUGAUCUUAUCUAGCACACCAUAUCGGCAUAUGAGUUGAUUCUUGAUAAACUUCACGACCACCUGCCUGGUCACAUUAGCAUACGAUGCCGCUUCAACCCACUUGGUGAAGUAAUCAAUAGCUACGAGAAUAAAACGGUGACCGUUCGAUGCCUUAGGUUCAAUCAUGCCAAUCAUGUCAAUUCCCCACAUGGAGAAAGGCCAUGGUGAGGAAAUAACAUUCAAAAAUGUCGGGGGAAUAUGAAUCUUAUCCGUAUAAAUCUGACACUUGUGGCAUUUCUUCAAAUAUUUGCAGCAGUCAGACUCCAUUGUCAGCCAAUAGUAGCCUGCUCUCAACAUCUUCUUUGCCAUAGCAUGUCCAUUGGAAUGAGUACCAAAUGAACCCUCAUGGACUUCAGUCAUCAACAGGUCUUGCAUGUCCAUUGGAAUGAGUACCAAAUGAACCCUCAUGGACUUCAGUCAUCAACAGGUCUGCUUCGUGUCUAUCCACGCAUCUGAGCAGAACCAUGUCAAAAUUUCUCUUAUAAAGCACAUCGCCAUUAAGGUAGAAACUUCCAGAUAACCUCCUCAAAGUCUUCUUAUCUUUAACAGAUGCCCCAGGCGGGUAAAUCUGACUCUGAAGAAAACACUUGAUAUCAUAAUACCAUGGCUUAUCAUCUUUCACUUCUUCAACUGCAAACACAUGAGCUGGUCUAUCAAAGCGCAUCACCGCAAUAUUGUGGAAUUCAUUCCAAUACUUGACAACAAACAUUGAAGCAAGCGUAGCAAGAGCAUCCGUCAUCCGAUUCUCAUAUAAGGGAAUAUGAUGAAAGUCAACCUCAGUAAAGAAAGUCGAAAUCCUCCUUGCAUAAUCUCUGUAAGGGAUGAGGCCAGGCUGAUUCGUUUCCCAUUCACCCUUAAUCUGAUUAACAACAAGGGCCGAAUCACCAUAAACAUCAAGAUGUUUGAUCCUAAGAUCAAUACAUUCUUCCAAACCCAUAAUUCAAGCCUCAUACUCUGCCAUAUUAUUCGUGCAUUUGAAAGUUAGCCUUACUGUAAAAGGAAAAUGUGUGCCUUGAGGAGUAAUAAUCACUGCCCCAAUACCAUUUCCAUACUGAUUAACAGCACCAUCGAACACCAUACCCCAUCGGGAACCAGGCUCUGGUCCUUCAUCGAGUGUAGGCUCAUCACAAUCUGUCAUCUUCAAAUACAGAAUCUCCUCAUCAAGGAAGUCGUACUGCACCGACUGAUAAUCUUCAAUUGGUUGAUGUGCCAAGUGGUCAGCCAAGAUACUACCUUUAAUAUCUUUUUGAGCUCGAUACUCGAUAUCAUACUCAGAUAACAACAUCUGCCAACGGGAAAUCCUCCCAGUUAAAGCAGGCUUCUCAAAGAUAUACUUGAUCGGAUCCAUUUUGGAUAUCAACCAAGUUGUAUGAUUCAACAUAUACUGGCGCAAACGCUUAGCAGCCCAAGCCAAAGCACAUCAUGUCUUCUCAAGCAUUGAGUACCGAGACUCACAAUCGGUAAACUUCUUACUCAAGUAGUAUAUUGCAUAUUCUUUCUUCCCUGAUUCAUCUUGCUUACCCAACACACAACCCAUGGAAUCAUCAAGCACGGUCAAGUACAUAAUUAACGGUCUCCCUUCAACAGGCGGAGACAGAAUCAGAGGCUCAGACAAAUACUCUUUAAUACUGUCAAAAGCUUUUUGGAAAUCCUCGGUCCAAUCAUAACGCUGAUCUUUCCGAAGGAGCUUGAAUAUAGGCGCACAUGUGGCAGUCAUGUGGGAUAUAAAUCUGGAAAUGUAAUUCAAGCGGCCAAGAAAACCUCGGACUUGCUUUUCAGUUUUGGGCGCAGGCAUCUCUUGUAUUGCUUUGACCUUGGCAGGAUUCCAAGAAAACCUCGGACUUGCUUUUCAGUUUUGGGCGCAGGCAUCUCUUGUAUUGCUUUGACCUUGGCAGGAUCAACCUCAAUACCUCUUUCACUGACAAUAAAGCCCAAUAACUUGCCGGAACAGACUCCAAAUGUACACUUGUUCGGAUUCAGGCGGAGUUUAUACUUCCUCAAACGCUGGAAAAGCUUCAACAAGUGCUCUACAUGUUCAACUUCCGUUUUCGACUUCGCAAUCAUAUCAUCGACAUACACCUCUAUCUCCUGGUGCAUCAUAUCAUGAAACAAGGUAGCCAUAGCUCAUUGAUACAUGGAUUCGGCGUUCUUCAAACCGAAGGGCAUCACUCGAUAACAAAAUGUUCCCCAAGGUGUGAUAAAUGUUGUCUUCUCCAUAUCCUCGGGUGCCAUUUUAAUCUGAUUAUAACCGGAAAAUCCGUCCAUAAAUGAGAAGACAUUGAAUUUAGUUGUAUUAUCUACCAACAAAUCAAUGUGUGGUAGAGGAAAAUCAUAUUUUGGACUAGCUUUAUUCAAGUCACGGUAAUCCACACACAUUCGGACUUUUCCAUCUUUCUUAGGCACAGGCACAAUAUUGGCCACCCAUUGAGGAUAUGUAGAAGUCAGCAGAAACCCCGCAUCAAUUUGCUUCUGAACUUCUUCUUUAAUCUUCACUUCCAUAUCAGGAUGAGUUCUUCUGAGCUUUUGCUUCACAUGCACACACUCAGGCUUCAAUGCCAAGAAAUGUUGCAUGAUAUCAGUAUCUAGACCAGGCAUAUCUUCAUACGACCAGGAAAAGACGUCGACAUAUUCUCGUAGCAACUCAAUCAACCCCUUCUUAACAAAAUCUUCAAGGAGUGCCCCAAUCUUCACUUCACAAACGCAGUCUUCAGACCCCAAGUUGACUCUUUCCAGAUUCUCAAGAUGUGGUUGAAUGAUCUUCUCUUCGUGCUCAAGCAGACGGGUAAUCUCAUCAGGAAUCUCUUCAACAUCAUCUUCUUCCGCCUCAAAUUCAGGGAACUCAAAGUUGGGAGAUGGUGUUGGAUCAUUAUGUUCAAUGGGUUUGAUUAACCUGCAUAAUGAGUAUGCAGAUGAAAAGAUUGAUUUUAUUCUCUUUUUAGGGUUUUAUGGUGAUCACCAAUUUCAUGCAAAAAGCGAAAACGAAAAAUAAUUUGGAAAAACAAACAUUUAACAUGUGAUUAUUGAAUGAAUAUCAUUGUAUUAAUCAAAUUGUACCAACAAUGUCUUCACUUCUCCUUUUGGCAUGGGAAAAGGGUUUUCAAACAAAAUGAACACAUUACGUUGACUUAUGGAUAACUGUUGGAACAUCAACAACGACCCAAUUAUUGCAGAUUCCUCCGGGUAUGACAAAGUUGCCAAGGUCUUCCUCUUCAUCAUCUUCCACAAUGGCAGCAGCUUCCGGGUCUUCAACAGUGUGGAUGAAACCUCCACUCUGGAACAACCCACGCUCAUUAGAAAGACCAGAAGAAUACCUUAUGCCAGCUUGGGACUUGUUAUCUUCCAACUUUAUCAUUUUCCCUAAACCAGUAGUUGCACCAUGCUCAAUGGCCAACUUCGCGUCAUUAUAGGAGACAAAUGAAGAAAGUCCUUUCCUUGAAGGCUCAGCAAUAGAUAAGGCUUGGAAUGGAGUCCCAACCUCGUCCUCAACAUCAAUAUAGGAGAAGGAAGAUAAAUAACUGACCAAGAGAGCCUUCUCUCCCCCUAUCACCACCAACUUUUUGUUCCUCACGAACUUCAACUUUUGGUGUAGGGUGGAUGUCACGGCGCCUGCCUCGUGAAUCCAUGGUCUGCCAAGCAAAUAGCUGUAAGAUGGAUGAAUAUCCAUGACCUGGAAAGUGAUCUGGAAGUCACUAGGUCCAAUCUUGAUCGGGAUUUCUAAUUCACCGAUCACAGUUUUGUGCGAUCCAUCAAACGCCUUCACAACCACUCCACUCUGCCUCAUAGGAGGCCCCUGGUAAGAAAGUUUGGCAAGAGUGGAUUUUGGCAACACAUUGAGCGAUGAUCUUGUGUCCACCAACACAUUGGACAAGGCAUCAUCCUUACAGUUCAUAGAUAUGUGUAAAGCCAAAUUGUGGUAUUUUCCCUCCUCGGGAAGAUCAGCAUCACAGAAGCUCAAAUUGUUGCAAGCGGUUAUAUUUGCAACAAUGCUAUCAAACUGCUCUAUUGUGACAUCGUGGUCCACGUAUGCCACGUCCAACACCCUCUGCAAAGCUUCACGGUGUGGCUCAGAAUUCAUCAACAAAGAUAAGAUAGAUAUCUUUGAUGGAGUUUGUAGCAGCUGAUCAACAACAUUGUAUUCACUCCUCUUGAUGAGCCUUAGCAUCUCAUCACCAUCCUCUUUCAUAAUGCCAGACUGGCCAACCAGGAUAGGAGUGUUAUUAUUCUUGACCGCAACAGGGUCAACAACAGGAACAGGAUUGUUUGAAGAAGAAGUCCCCACGGGACCAGCAGGACUAAUAACAGUUCUCUUCAUGACAUCUUCGUGGGAUUUCGGCGGAGCCGAGAAAACACGACCACUACGGGUCACACCACUGACGUCUGAAAUGCUCACUACAGAAGUUGAAGGAAACGACACCUCCUUUCCAUCUUCUAGCGUUACAACGUUAUAUCGGUAGGGAACAACUUUGUCCGAUACAUACGGGACAGGGCCCGCUGGCUUGAUCACAAGAGCUGGUGAUACCUUCUUCUUGUUGUCAUCAUACUUGACGACAACAGGCUCAGGAAGUUUAAACACUAGGGUGAUUACAUCAACUUCAUCCUCAUUACGAUUUUGAAGUAUUUCAAUCAUUCCCUGAUCAAUCAUCUCUUGGAUGUCCUUUAUUACUUGUCGGCAUCCUCUCUCAUUGAUAGUGCACACCUGGCCCCUAUCAUGGUCAUGCUCGUAGUGACUGUGUUCACACAACAGCUUGUACAUAUCGACCAAAGAUUGCCUUAUGUCAUUAACAUACAAGACUUUAUACUUGCCAGGGCAUCCCUGGACCAUAUUAACAGCUGCUUUCCCAUGUCCGGGAGCACAGGAAUGAUAUACACAAUGAAGCUCUGGCUUAUACCACCACUGAGGAUUGGCUGGUACAACGGGAGGAUCUCACGAAGUUAUCAGCUUUCUAUCGAUCAAAGAAGGAUAGAGCUCAACAUAUGUCAUCGGAAUCGGGUCAAAAGUCACCCUCUUCCUCUCGUAGUUUUUGGUGCUGGUGUUGUUAUUGUUGCGAGGCUGGUAGGCCUAUUGUUGUUGAUGAUGUUGUUGUUGUUGUUGAUGAACUUCUCGAAAAGUAGGUGCUAUAUGAGCCACCUGGUGUUGGUUGAUGGCAGAACGCACAUCCUUCCUCCUUACAGAGGGCCUUCUUUUAAUAUGGGAGGACACGUCAUGGGUCUCUCCCUCCUUCUUCCUUGCAAAGCCUCCAUACUUCUUUGCUGAGGAUCUGUCUUCCAUGGAUAAUCGUCCUUCACAGACCCCUUCUUCCAAUCUCAUCCCCAUAUUCACCAUUUCGGUGAAGUCUGAGGGAGCACUGGCAAUCAUUCUUUCAUAGUAGAAAGAGCUCAAAGUCUUCAAGAAGAUCUUUGUCAUCUCCUUCUCUUCCAGGGGCAUUGCUCUCAAUUGGUCCCUGUCCGGAGCCAUAUCCACAUUAUAUUUGUACUGCUUGACGAAGGCCUCGCCUAAAUAGUUGAAAGUGCGGAUGCUUGCACUCUCCAUCCCCAUAUACCACCGGAGCGCAGCACCUGUCAGGCUAUCCUGAAAGUAGUGGAUCAGUAGUUGAUCGUAAUCGGUCUGUGUUGACAUCUUGCGAGCAUACAUCACAAGAUGGCUGAGCGGGAAUGUAUUUCCCUUAUACUUCUCAAAGUCAGGCACUUUGAAUUUAAUAGGGAUCUUCACGUUGGGCACUAAGCACAACUCAACAGCACUUUUACCAAAGAGGUCCUUACCCCUCAAAGUCUUCAGUUCCUUGCGCAGCUCAAGGAAUUGGUCUUUCAUUUCGUCCAUCUUCUCAUAUAAAUUCGGUCCCUCAGACGGCUCAGAAUGAUAGAUGGUGUUUUCAACACGGGGUAAGGUGUGCACAACGGGAGGUGGCAUAGAUAGGACCGGGCUAGAUGCCAGCAGAGAAGCGAGAGUAGGAGCGAAACCCUCUGGUACAAAAUUAGCAGGCAUUCCCCAAGGGAACCCGGCUGGCAUAGACGGAGCGAAGUGGGUCGUUGCAGCAGGCACAGUUGAAGUUGCUAUCUCAUAAAUAACCGUCCUCACGGGAGGAGUUGCAGGAGUUGGUGAAGCUUGACUUUAUGCGGCCAGGACUGACUCCAUCAUGGCAGUCAGCCUAGCAACCUCUUCUUUCAAUUCCCUGUUCUCUUGCUCUAAAUGCUCCAUGAUCCUUGGAUGAUUGGCUUGAGUAUUAUACCGGUGCGUCAGCUUGUCUUCAAAAUAAAUUAAGAACAAAGAGUUAGACCACUGAUCAAGAGCUUAGAACAAAACCUACUUAUGCAUAUGAUGUAUGCAAUGUUUGUGCAUAUGAUUUGGUUUUAUUAGAGGAACUUUAUAGAGAUCUAUUUGCAAAUAUUUGGAAAUAUUUUACUCUUAAGACACAUAUGGAAUACUCAUAGCAAUGAUAUUUGGAAACUUUUUACACCAAAGAAGUAGUACAGUUUUGGUAGCCAAAUACAAUACAAGAGAAAAGGAGAAUGAACAUCCUAUGGAGCCCUAGAAACAAUCUUCCAAAUCCUUCGAGAUCGGGAGAUAAGUUGCACGAAGCCUCUUCACCUCUCUCAUAAGCUGCUUUCAUAUCGGCCUUCUCCUUGGAAAGUUGAUCAUACUUCCUCUUCCAGAACCUAGAUGAGUGAGGAAGAAGAGAAGUAACCACAUCAUCAGGCUCAUCAAUAACCUGAUGCUCUAGAAAUUCUAUCACUACAUCCUUAUCUUUGAGCUGCUGAAGUAGUUCCUCACGCUCACGAACCCAUGCACGCUACCAGUCUUCAUCUCUCAACUCCUCUACCCCUUGGUUAGGGAGGGUUGAAGGCCCAACCAUAGCCAUAGGGGUAGGUCUUCAUCUCUCAACUCCUCUACCCCUUGGUAAGUCCAAUUAAAUUCUCAUAGGUCUAACAUGGUCAAACAAGCUUUGACAAAAAAAUUUAAUAAUUUUUGAAAUCAGAAACUAUUUAAAAACAAUUAAAAAUGAUGAAAAAUAACACAAUAUGCAUUAAAAUCUCAAAUCAAAUAAGAAAUUGAUGAAAUUAUCUUUCAUUGACUUAUCAUGAUCCAUAUGUGUUAAGAAAAUAUUUUUGGAUUUUUUAAAUAUCAAAAAGUAUUUUAAAAUGAAUUAAAACUAUUAAAAAACAAAUAAUUCACAAAAAAUAUUAAAUGAAGUCACAAAAAAAAUUAAAAAUCAAAAUAUGAAACUAGAUUUUUCAAAAAAAAAAUUGGCAUUGGUCUCAUAUUUUUGUGACUUCAAAUAAAAUAUUUAUGAAUUUUUUGAAAAUCAAAGGAAUUAAAUGGAAUUUACAGAAAAUAAGAAAAUAGCAAAAAUGCGCAGCCACAUGAUCAUUUCAUUAAUUGACAUGGCAAUGAUCCUAGGGCUCAGAGGCGCGGUCACACGAAACACCUUGGCCAAACGCGCUACACUUUGAUUUAAAAUAGGUCAAUACAAUGAAAGGCCAAGAUUAUAACAUUUCAUCAUGAUCCAAUGGACCUGAAGGCUUCCACGUGGGGAUGGUGGUGGAAACCACCAUAUUAUCCGGCGAUCUAACCAGAUCCGGCCACCACGCGCGGGAAAUCAAACCUCAAUGAAAAUGAAAAAGGAAGGUAUCAAAAUGAAGCUGAGGUGAUGUACAUCACCCAUGUAACCAUGGAUCAUCCUCAUAGUUCCUAUUUAGUGAGAAACGUGAGCUUGAAGAUCAUGGUACAUGAACUGAAAUGGCACGAUUUGCAAAAUUAAGACCACCACUGGCCUGUCUCAUGCAUGAGGGCUUCAGAAAACAACACAAACCAAAGAGAUUCACAUUAUAUAGCAAGAUCUAGAUCAAGAAAGUUUGGUGAUAUACCUUUGAAAUGGAGCUUCAAACAACACGAAUUGUCCAAGCUCUUGAUCCAAUUUUAAUCUUCAAGAAAGUUUGGUUUUCAAUUCAGCAUCACUUCAGAUCUCCACUUCGUUCCCAUUUGAAUAAGAUUGCACUUCUAUUUAUAGCUGGAAUGUGAUGCAAGGCAAUGCUUGGCUCGUGUGCAUGAAGUAUGAACUCUCCUUGCAUGGGCCUGUACAGGUGCAUGUAAGGCCCAAUAAUGAAUGUAAAUCCAUGCUGAGAUCAAACGUAAGUGAAUUGGACGUGCACAAGGCCUGGCAUUUGCUUGCACAUGAAGUUAUAAUGUGAAUUACAAAAAUGAACAUAAACAUUAAGCUCUUUGAAACUCACUCAUGGAAAGUCCAAAGAAUUAAUGUGAGUAAUGGUUGGAAAGCCCUUGAAAUAAGGAACGAAAGUCAUGUUGGGAAAAAAUUCAUUUGGCAAUUAGAAUUUUAUGAAAACUGGCUGUAAAGGUUUGGGUACAAAACAUGUCUAGGUUCCCUUUGAAAUUUUUUACCAAAAGCAAGCAUCUUCAAGCCCUUCUGUUUCAAUGAUACAAGCCUCAAAUGGAAAAACCUCCAACAUAAAAGUUGUAUAUAUCUUCAAUAUGGGAAAUUUAGACUUAAAUUUUGCAUCAUUUGGAUUUUUCAUGAGAAAAUUAUGGGCACUUGAAGUUAGACAUUUUUCAAAUUCAAUAGCUUAGGUCCAAAGUGACCUAUAAUGUUUUGUAUUAUCACAUGUAUUUAUUUUUGGAUUAUGAAAUUUUGUCAAACAUAACAUUUGAAUUAGUCAUCUUAAGCUUUCCAAUUAAAUUGGUCUCACUUCUAAAUCAUAAAAAUUAAAGAAGUUAGGUCCUUGGGAAGUUGACCCAAAAUUAGGGUUUUAGUCAAAAUGACCUAUAAUGUUUUGAAAUUAAUGAUGACCUUCCAAGUUUCAAAUGUAUUUUUUAUUAACAUAAACGUUGUUAAUAUGGUUCUUAAGAACAUUUUUUCUCUUGGGGUCAUCUUAAUUUGACAAACACAUCAAAAGUUGUAUCUCAGUGAUCCUCAGUUUAGUCAGAUGACUUGACUGGUCAACUUCUCAAGGCCAAACUUCAAAUCUUGAUGAAUGAAUGAUUGAGGAUACUCAAAUAAGCCCAUAUAUGCAUAUAAUAGUAAAUUAAAGAACUUCCCUUGAUUAAAUUUCAUCAUAGGUUGAGGUUGCUUCAUGAGCAAGGCACAGUCAAAGCACAGUUGAAUUAGGGUUUCCUUGGGAACAAACCUCAAGCCCUUUGGGUUAUCUUGAUCAAAUUGGAAAAUUGAGAUGCUUGGGAGACAUAUAUGAUUAUUAGGAGAUUUGUGAACCAUUGUCAUUCCUUUUCUCAUCUUCAUCUAGCCACUUCAUUGAGCUUAAGAGCCUCCUAGGAGCAUAGGAGCACAUGAUCACUUGAGCUUCAAAACAAAAAGGGUUAGUGACAUAUUUUUGUGCUUUUGGUUAGUAAACAAAAUAAGAAAAGCAACAAUAUACAAUACAAGCAUGCUUGGUGGUCUCAAGCCAACCACACAAGUCCCACCCCUAGGGUUAAGGAGCCACACAUGCUAUGAUCUUGAGGCAAUGCAUUGAGCAAAUGAUAUGAUGCCAUGAGGGAUCUUAGGGUCAAAAUUAGGGUCUUACACUAACAGGUAUUUCCAGAAUUUAUCAAAUGCAUAAAACACUACUAACAACUCCUUCUCUGUAGUUGCAUAGUUCAUCUGCACAGGGUUCAGCACAUGACUAGCAUAGUAAAUAACAUGUAAGAGCUUCUUUCUCCGCUGUCCUAGAACUGCCCCUACAGCAAUAUCACUAGCAUCCCACAUGAUCUCAAAUGGGAGAGACCAAUCUGGGGCAAUUACAAUUGGUGUCGAUGCUAAUUUGUUUUUCAAUGUCUCAAAAGUUGUGGUACAUUCUUCAUCGAACAAAAGCCUCAUCCUUAACCAAUAGAGUGGUCACUGGUUUGGCUAUUUUGGAGAAAUCUCUUAUGAACUUGUGGUAAAAACCCGCAUGUCCUAAGAAACUCCUUAUACCUUUUUCGUUAACUGGAGGCGGAAGUUUAGAUAUCACCUUUACUUUUUCUUGGUCGACUUCAAUUCCCUUGUAGGAAAUUUUGUGACCCAAGACUAUUCCUUCAUGAAAUGAAACUUCUCCCAGUUCAAAAUCAAAUUUUUUUGUUGGCACCUGUCUAAAACAAGAGAAAGGUUAGUUAAAAAGUUAUCAAACGAAGAUCCAAAGACCGAAAAGUCAUCCAUGAACACUUCCAUAUGCUUUUCAAGCAUGCCAACAAAGAUGGAAGUCAUGCAACGUUGGAAGGUGGCUGGAGCAUUACGCAACCCGAAUGGAAUUCUUCUAUAAGAAAAUACACCAUAAGGGAAUGCGAAUGUCGUCUUCUCUUGGUCUUCUAGAGCAAUAACAAUCUGAUUAUAUCCGGAGUAUCCAUCUAGAAAAUAGUAGUAAUCAUGUUCAGCUAGCCUUUUCAUCAUUUGAUCAAUGAAUGGCAAAGGGAAGUGGUAUCUCCUGGUCGCAAUGUUUAACCUCCUGUAGUCAAUACGCACUCGCCAACCUGUAACUGUCCUUGUAGGGAUUAACUCAUUCUUCUCGUUUCUAAUGACGGUGGUCCCCCCCUUUUUGGGGACCAUAUGAACCAGACUCACCCAUGAGCUGUCAGAUAUAGGGUAGAUAAGACUAGCGUCUAACAACUUCACCACUUAUUUCCGAACCACUUCUUUCAUUGUUGGGUUAAGUCUCCUUUGGGGAUGGACCACAAGUUUGUGAUCGUCUUCCAUGAGAAUUUUAUGCAUGCACACUAUAGGGCUAAUACCUUUCAAAUUCUCAAUUUUCCAUCCGAUAACAUUCUUGUAUUUUUUUAGGACUUGGAUGAGUUUCUCUUCUUGGAUACUCUUGAGGCUCGAAUUUAUUAUAGUCGGGCAUUGACCUUCAGAAUCGAGGAAGACAUAUUUGAGAUUCUCGGGAAGUUGUUUCAACUCCGUCCCCUUCUUGGAUUCAUUAUUCUCCUCACAUGAUUGAGGUAGUCAUAAAUCUUCCCACCGGUGUGGUCGAGAUCCUUUCCAAGGGGAUUGUGGGUUCAUCAUGGCUAGCACUUCUAAUUCUCUGUUGUCCACUUCUUUAUCACAGUCAAAAAUGGACAAGCUCAACACUCUUUCCAAAGGUAAUUGCGGUGCAUUCAAAGGACUAUCAUAAGCAAUCACUUGAUCUAGAACCUCUAUGGUAUAACUAGUGCCAAUAUCAUCCUUGUACUUCAUGGUGUUUCGAACAUCAAUUUUUAAUUCCUCAUCAUAAACCAUCAAAGUCAUAGUACCUUCCUCUAUGUUGAUCAAACAUCUUCCAAUCUCUAAAAAGGGUCUCCCAAGAAUGAGAGGAAUCUCCUCAUCCUCAGGCAUUUCUAAAAUCACGAAAUCCACCGGGAAUACAAACUUGUCAAUCUUCACUAGAACAUCUUCAACUAUCCCAGAAGGUUUCUUAACCGAAUCAUCGGUAAAUUAAAGUGUCAUCAUGGUAUCUUGCACAACCCCUAUACCCAGUUUCUUGUAAAUGGAUAACGAAUGAGACUCACACUGGCUCCUAAAUUAAUAAGAGCUUUUUUGAAUGACCUAUCUCUAAUGGUGCAAGGGAUAGUGACAGAUCCUCGAUCCUUCUUCUUUAUUGGAAAUUUCAUACCUACAAAAUAGCACUACAAGUUUCGGUUAGAAUAACCGGGUUGGUGUCAAUGGUUCGCCUCUUAGAAAUGAUGUCCUUCAUGAACUUGGCAUAGGUAGGAAUUUGUUCAAGUGCUUCCAAAAGUGGAAUGCUAAUUUCUAGCUUCUUGAACAACUCUAGGAAUUUCUCAUGAUGCCCCUUUUUCUUGUUUCUGGUGGGAAAGGGAAGCUUAAUGACCGGUUUUGGUUCAAUGACUUUUUCUUUCACCACUUGUUUAGGUGCAACCAGUUCUUCCCUCACAGCUUCAUUUUCCUUGAUCUCAAGAUCUACUUCAAGCAAUUGAUCUUCAUCUUCAGCUUUCUCCUCAAGGACUUCAUGAGAUUUACCACUUCUUGUUGUCACAACACUAACAUUAUUAUACUCUCUAGGAUUUGUCACAGUUGCACUUGGUAGAGCACCUUGUGCUUGAGAACUCGAGGCUAAUUGUUGUGCUAUCUGACCCAUCUGAACUUCAAGAUUUUUUAUGGAAGCGGUAGUGUUUUUCUGAUUGUUUCUAGUUUCUUCUUGGAAUUGAACAUUAUGAGUUUCCAUUCUUUCAAUAGAAAUCUCCCAAUCUACUUUCUUAGGGGCUUGUUGUUGCUGUUGUUGUUGAUAUUGACCUUGACCUUGUUGAGGAACUUUCCCUUUCUAAUCUUUCCAUGAGAAGUUAGGAUGAUUCUUCCAACCAGGAUUGUACGUGUUGGAAUAGGGAUUAUUCUGCUUUAAAAAUUUUAUUUCCUCAACUUGUGGAGGAGUUGCAAAAUAGUACGCUGUUUGGUGCAGUUCAUUACAAAUCUCACAACAGACGAGAGGAGCUGGUUGGACUUGAGCUACCUCUUAGGUACCUAUAUUCAUCGCUUUCAGCUUCUUUUCGUCUUCGGCAACGAUAAUAUCUUCUAUACGGAUUCUAUUAGUUUCUAGCUUCAGAUUGAUAACUCCUUCAAGUUUACUUAUACAUCUGUCGUACAACUCCAAGUGCUCAUUAGCAGCAACUGCUUCAAUGAUCUUUUUGAUACCAGUGGCCGUUGAGAAAUUAGUUGAGCCACCGAUUGCGGUAUCAAUCAAAUGUUUGGUCUUUAUUUUGAUACCAUUUACAAACAUCUGCAUCUGUUUUGUUGGAUCCAUAUUAUGAGUUGGGUAAGCUACUAGGACCCUUUUGAAUCUCUUGUAGGCAUCUCCCAAAUAUUCACCCUCUUUCUGCUUAAAGUUCAGUAUUUCAUAUCUUUUUUUCAGAAACACCAAUGCUGGAAAAUACUCAUUCAGGAAAGCCUUUUCCAUCUCUUCCCAUGAUGUAAUACUAUCGGACGGGAGAGAAUAGAACCAUUCUUCAGCUUCUUCCGCCAAGGUGAAUGGGGACAUUCUUAACUUAUUUUCUUCCUCCGUGUGACCAUCAAUUUUAGACUGUUACUCAUGGUCAGAAAUCUCUGCAAAUGCUUGUUUGCAUCUUCAUUUACCUUUCUAGUGAAAUGAUUUCUUUCAAGUUGAUUAAUAGUACUUGGAUGUAGCUGAAAAUUAGCCACAUUCACCGGUUGGUUAACAAUUGUUAAUCUUCUGGUUGGUGCAUUUGCGCCUCCGUAGUCACCCAACAGUCUUUCUGGUGGUGGUGGGUUCUCCCCCAUUACUUCGAUCUCUCUCUCUCUCUCUGAACCUGAAUCUGAACCUAAAUGAAUGGAAAGUUGUUCUUCUUAUGAUUCUAGUCUUGCUAAUCUAGCUUGUCUGAGUCUUGCAUGCAAAGUUCUUUCGAUUUCUGCGUCAAAAGGAAAAUCAGUUGAAGCCUUACCUCGCAUACAAAUAUCAGACACAAAUUAGUUGAUAAUGAUCGGAAUAAAUAACUAAAAGAACAGAGAAAAAUCUUAGUUGCAGAGCAACAAAAUUUCAAUUGAACUAAAUUUAAACUUUAUAUUUGGCAAUCCCCGACAACGGCGCCAAAAACUUGAUCGGUAAAAUAGAAAGUGUACUAUUUUGCCAAUGUAGUAAUAAUAGGGAAGUUUCCCAAAUAUCGAUCUCGAGGACUGCGCAGUAAUAUUAGUUUAAAUCGUGUGGUUCAAUUCAACAAGAUAGGAGUUUUAAGGUUUGGAAUAAAUUCGCACUAAUAUUGACUUAAGCAGAAUGCAAAAUAUAACUUUUACACAAAUAUGAAAAUUAUGCCAAGGUACGGUGUGUGGUUAUUUCCUGCAAUGACCUUGAAUGUAACUCUCCUCAACCAUUUCAAAUAUUUAAUUACCGGAUCUUAAAAUUGUUUCCUCCUAAAACCUUAGAGGGAAACCUUUGGUUAUUCAUUCUAAAACCUAAGUCCUUAGGGAAAUAUGAAGAAACCAAGCUUUUUGAAAUAACAAGAUAUAACCAGUAACCAUAGGGUAUCCUUAGUCCCAGGUGAUAUCUACUAUAGUUUAAUUGUGCAAAAAACCUAACAAUUGCAAUCCCGCAAAUUGCUAACCAUAUAACAAUCCUUAUUUUUCUGAUAAUGAAAGCAUUAACAACAUUGCACAGUUAAAUUGAAUAAUAAACAUAACAUUGAGGGAAUUAACAAUUCAAAGUUAUUACAUGAUCAAAUCAGGGACACCCCCUUGGCAUUGGGGGGUUUAGCCGCUCAUAUUAAUCAAAGAAAAUACAAUAUUUAAAUUAGACAUUACAAUAAAUGGGGAUUUCGUUGAUCUUCAAUCGUGUUCACUCUUGAAGGACCUCCGUUCUCCGAAACUCUUGAUCGUACCAAUCUCAAUCGUCUCAAUCUUUCGCGUGCAAAAAGUCCCCUUUCUUUUCCUCAAAAAGUACCCUAAGUAGUCAAUGAUCAAUUAAUCGAUGUAGCAAAUACCCAAAACACCCUCUGAGGUCAACAAUUCUAAAAAUCCAAUAAAAUUAGAAGAUGAGGCGUCUAAGCUAACACUGAUCGUGUCAGGAAACACGGCCGGCCGUGUUGGCUUACUGCUUCUGGUUUCCAAAAUGCCCAAGCCAAACUUGCUGACACGGGUCGUGUCAACUAACACGGGCAGCCGUGCCAACCCACUGUUUUUCUCCUUAUCCUCCUCUUUUAUCCUUCCCCUUACACGGGCCAUGUCAGGUAACACGGGUGGCCGUAUCAGGGCCACUGUAUCUUCAAAACUUCUUCCCCAUGAACCCGGAAUGCCCGAUUCCCUUGGCGAGUCUUUGGGCAUUCUUGCUUGUACCUGAAAACCAACAGAACUACCAAAAGAAAGCAUAAAAUGUAGUACAUUGACGAAAACCAAAGAUAAUAACCAAACGCGAACGAAAAUGUAAACAUCCAAUUUGCUUGACAAAAUAAAUAAAAAAGUAAAACAAAGUGUUACCGACUUCGUGAAAUAAUGUCGAGUGAGUGUCAGAAAACUAGUAGAAGUGGUGACCGAUCAAAAGGCCAUGGAUACGUUAGAACAUUUAAAGGCACGGGAAGAAUAUGCACUUUAUCAGCAUAGAUUUGGUAUUUAUGACAUGAUUUGGCGUGAAGAUGGCAGUCAGUCUCCAUAGUCAUCCAAUAACUGCCUGCUCUCAAAAUCCUUUUCACUAUGGUGUGACCACUAGAGUGUGUUCCAAACGCACCCUCAUGGAUUUAUUCAAUUGGUUUUGUCUGCUUCGUGUUUUUUGGUCAGGGAUAGUUGCGUCCUCCGAGUAUUCUUGUUUUUCCAGGUAUCUUUUGAUAUCAUAGAACCAUUUCUUAUCAUCCCAAACUUUAUCAUUAUUAUAACAAAAAGUCGGCUCAUCCAAUCUCAUAAUGUUGAUGGAAGGGGCUUCAUUUGCCCAUUUGACUUUGAACAUUGACGCUAGAGUUGCUAGCGCGUCUGCUAAAUGAAUCUCUUCCCUUGGGAUAUGGUUGAAUGUGAUCUCUUUAAAGUAUGGAAUUAAUUUCAUCACAUAUUCUCGGUAUGGAAUUAAAUUUGGAUGACGAGUCUCCCAAUCUCCAUUAAUUUGGCUAAUGACCAAGGCAGAAUCCCCAUAUACCUCAAGAUGCUUGAUCCUUAAGUCAAUAGCAGCUUCAAUCCCAUAGAUGCAAGCUUCAUAUUCGGCCAUAUUAUUUGUGCAAUAAAAAUAGAUUCUGACGGUGAAAGGAAUGUGAAAACCAGUGGGAGAAUUAAUGACAACUCCCACACCAUUUCCUAAAGCAUUUGAAGCACCGUCGAACAUGAGCGUCCAUCGCGGUCCUGGUUCUGGACCUUCAUCUGGGUCUGGUCGGUUGUAAUAUUCGUUGAGAAACAAAACGUCUUCAUCGGGAAAAUAAAAUUUCAUCGGCUGGUAAUCCUCCACAGGCUGAUGAGCUAGGUAAUCAGCAAUUAUACUACUCUUGAUGGCCUUCUGAGUUGUAUACUAGAUACCAUAUUCCGUUAAAUUCAUUUGCCAACGGGAAACCCUCUCUGUGAGAGUAGGCUUCUCAAAGAUAUAUUUGAUUGGGUCCAUCUUCUAAAUCAAAAGAGUAGUGUGGGUAUACUUUCUGAAAUAUAAGUAUGAUGUAUUUAAGGCUUUUAAGGUGUGGAAAGCGAUGGUAGAAAACGAGAUCGGAUUGAAGAUCAAAAAGCUCCGAACUAACAAUGGUGGUGAAUAUGUAGACACCAAGUUCGAGAAUUUAUACUAUGAUCAUAGAAUUAGAAUUGAGAGGAUUGUGUCGGGGACGCCUCAACAAAAUGGUGUAGUUGAACGUAUGAAUCGAACGUUGACUGAGAGAGACAGAAGCUUAUGUGUGCAGUCAAGCUUACCGAAGCAGUUCUGGGUAGAGGCAGUCAACACAUCAGCUUACUUAAUCAACCAAGGUCCAUCGGUACCAUUGGAGCUUAGAAUACCAUAAGAGGUAUGAAGCAGAAAAGAGGUAAAACUCUCGCAUCUUAGAGUUUUUGGUUGUGUAGCAUAUGUUCACAUUAGUGAUCAUGGUAGGAAUAAGCUUGAUCCCAAAUCAAAGAUGUGCACUUUCCUCGAUUAUGGUGAGGAUGAGUUGAGUUAUCGCCUAUGGGAUGAUGAAAACAAAAAGAUGAUCCGUAGUAGAGAUAUGAUCUUCAAUGAAAGAGUAAUGUACAAGGACAAACAAAAUACAGGUGCCAACAACUUAGAUUCGAGUGGGCCAGUUUAUGCAGAAGUGGACGAUGUCCUAAAAAGUCCUAUAGUUGAUAAUCCUCAGCUAGAGGAAACAACUGAACAAGGCAGUGAGCAUCAACCUGACAUAUUAGAGCCCCCGACUUCAAACUCAUGUAUUGAGAAGGUCUUUUAGAACUCGUGUUCCUAACAAGAGAUACAUGGACUACAUGUUAUUGAUAGAUGAAUGGGAGCCUGAAGAUUAUGUAGAAGCAUGUUAGACCGCAGAUGCUAGCAAGUGGGAACUUGCUAUGAAAGACGAGACGAAGUCUUUGAUCUCCAAUCAGACAUGGGAACUUGCUGAGUUACCUAUAGGAAAAAGGACACUUCACAAAAAAUGGUUGUAUAGGGUGAAGGAGGAACAUGAUGGCUCCAAGAGAUACAAGGCUCGACUAGUUGUCAAGGGAUUUCAGCAAAAAGAAGGAGUUGACUACACUGAAAUCUUUGCUCCAGUUGUGAAGCUCAAUACUAUCAGGUAUGUGUUAAGUAUUGUUGCCAGGGAAGAGCUCUACCUAGAACAGUUGGAUGUGAAGACCACGUUUCUCCAUGAAGACUUAGAUGAGGAGAUAUACAUGCAUCAACCAGAAGGUUUCUCAAAAGAAGGGAAACAGAAAAUGAUGCGCAGAUUAAAGAAGAGCUUGUAUGGUCUAAAAUAAGCUCCAAGAUAGUGGUAUAGGAUGUUUGAAAGCCUAAUGCACAAGGAAGGUUUCCAAAAGUGCAAUGUCGACCACUGUUGUUUCUUCAAGAGAUAUAAUUCAAGUCAUAUCAUUUUAUUACUUUAUAUCGAUGAUAUGUUACUAGCAGGUCUAGAUAAUGAUGAAAUCAGAAACUUGAAGAUGCAAUUGUCAAAAGAAUUUGACAUGAAGGACAUGGGUCCAGCAAAGAAGAUUCUUAGAAUGAAAAUCACGAGAGAUAAGCAAAGAGGAUUUUUGCAGUUAUCUCAGGCAGAGUACAUCAAUCGUGGUUUGCAAAGAUUCAACAUGGACAAUGCCAAACCAAUUAGCAAACCUUUAGCUAUUCAUUUUUGCUUAUCAAAGGACCAGACCCCAGAGACAGAGGAAGAAAAAGAAUUGAUGGCUAAGAUUCUUUAUGCUUCGGCCAUUGGAAGUUUGAUGUACGCGAUGGUAGGCACGAGGCCAGAUAUUAGCCAUGCAGCGGGAGUUGUAAGCAGGUUUAUGUCAAAUCCAGGUAAAGCUCAUUGGGAAGCUAUGAAAUGGAUUAUGAGGUAUCUACGAGACACUAAGGAGAAGUGUGUGUGCUUUAGUAAAGGUGAAUUGAAAGUACAAGGCUAUGUAGAUGCGGACUUUGCUGGUGAAGUUGAUCACCGAAGAAGCACCACCAGUUACAUAUUUAUUGUUGGUGCUACAACUGUUAGUUGGAUGUCGAGGAUACAAAAGAUCGUUGCUCUAUCCAGUACAGAGGCUGACUGAGUAUGUAGCAGUAACAAGUAACAGAAGCUAGCAAAGAGUUGAUAUGACUUCAAGGAUUGUUGAUAGAGUUGGAAUUCAUUCAAGAGAGGAAUGUUUUACACAACGACAGUCAUAAUGCAAUACAUCUAGCUAAGAAUUCAGCUUUUCACUCUAGAACGAAGCACAUUGAUCUCCGUUAUCACUUCAUUAAAACUCUGCUUGAGGAUGAGAUAAUAACGUUGAGUAAGAUUCUCGGAAGUAAAAACCCAACAGACAUGUUGACAAAAGUGGUGACUAUUGAUAAACUGAAUUUGUGCUCAACUCCAGUUGGCCAGCUAGAAUAACAUACCAGAGAAGGUUGCUGCAUGAUCGAGGUGUGAAGACCGGCUGAAGUCAAUCUUUAAGUGGGAGAUUGUUGAAAAAGUCAGUGUUUUCUUAUUAUUUGGAUGAUCAUUGUUUUCUUAUUAUUUAGAAGUAAAUGGAAGAUGUUUCUACUUUAUAGGAAUUGUAAUGAAUGAGUUACCGAUGAUGCAUCCAAUGCUUUGGCUAUAAAACAUGUCAAAGCCAAAAUAAUAUUAAUUACAACAUUAAGAGCAUUUUCAAUAACUAGAAAAAUACAUUAGUAAGAGAAAUCUGCAUCAGUAAGAGAAAUUUGCAGCAGUAAGAGAAAUCUACAUCAGUCCGUAUUUUUUAUUUACUGGAGUGAGAAAACUUCUUAAAUAUAAUAUGUAUUUUAUCUUUCCAAUAAAUAAAAAAUCUCCAUCCAUCAAUCCGUAUCAAUUUCUAUGUGUUAUUAUUCCGUAUUUAUAUCACUAUUCCACGAAUCUGACUAUAAGAAAAUGUUCCUAUUUUCCAAACAUCUAAUUCAAUAUCUCCUGACAAAAAAAUCACCAUAUCAUUUGUAUAAUAAUUUAUUACUAAUAUAUUUCAAUUUGUGUGUGGCGUAAAAGAAUUGUAUUUCUAUCUCUAUCCUAAAAUCAAUGAUUCUUGACUUUUUUUCAUUCAAAAUGGUCAUGCAUAUAAUGCCCUAUCUAAGAAAAAGAGUAUUUUUUUUAUCUCAAAUCAAAUAUCAUCGUUGUUACCUUCAUCAUUAAUUAAACUUUUUAUUAUAUUAGCUUGUUACUUGAGUGACUUUAAAUUAUUUUAAUUAUAGUUCGUAAUAAUUAUCAACUUGUUUUAUAAGGGUCGAAUAUGUACCCAACAGUCCCUAUUUAUUUUUCAUAUUUUUGAAUGGAUCCCUAUACUUUCAAAUUGUAAAAGUUAUAAAAGUUAUCUGAAAUUUAAGAAUGAAGCGUUUUAUUCUCUAUCCACAAAAAUAUAGAAUUCAAUUAUAAUAUUUGAAUGACCUAGAACCUUAAUUUUUCAAAAUUUUCUAAUUACCCCAUAUAAACACACUUUUAGUUUAUUAGACGUAGGGAUAUUAGUUAAUUAGUACUAAAAGAUAACAAUUUUAUAUCUGAAUAACCAUUUUAUGAUGCAUGAUUAAUAAAACUUAACAUUUUACACGAUAAAAUUUUAAUUUUAAAUUAAAUACAAUAUAACUAAUAUAACAACAAUAGUAUUUUCUUUUAAUGUUUAAGCAAAUAAAAUAAAUCUAGGGGUAAAAUGAAUCUAACACAUCAGAUAUAUCCAUUUUUUCCGCAUUUUUUUUAUAGGAUAGAUUAAAAUUUUAGACAAUCAGUCUCUAGUAUGUUCCCCUAUCCUAUUCUUUUAGAAUUUUUACGAGAACAAAUAUUUAUAUAAAUUUUUAUAUUUUUAAAUUAAAGAAAUAUAGUAUCUGCAGAAGCUUCACUCUUAUUUUUUUUAUAAAAUGAACCAAAAUUUUAGGUCAUACUCACAACUAUGUCCCAUUUUUUUUUCUUUAUUUUUUACUUUUGCAUAGUGUAAUGGGCAUAUAUAAUCAAUUGCCACUCUUAACCUUUUCACUUCUUUAUAUUUAAGAUGUAUGAGUCUCACAACUAUAUUAUAAACCUGUUGAAGUAAUAAUCUACAAGAAAUUUCGUUUAUGUUGUUUUGAACUUGUAACAAAUAAUUAUUUUUCUUAAUGUAAUAAAAUAUAUAUUAAUAGCAUACAAAACUAACAUCAAGGACUAGUUAUUUUAGACUCUUUUCUUUAAAUAUUAGAUGCAUUUCUAAUCUGAAAGUCAUGUGUUAUAAAGUUUCAACAAAUUUGUUAUAUUGAAACAUAUUCAAUAGUUUAAAUCAAAGACUUAUUAAUGCAAUUUUCUUUAAUCAAUUAUUCAAGUUUAAAAAAUAUUUACAACCUUUACAACUUUGACCUUUUUAAAAAUAUACUCAUUAUUUUAGUAAAUAUUGAAAUAAUCGAUAUGAUCUUUAAGAGUUUAAUAUAGCAAAAGAAGCUAACCUGUCACAAUAGUGACUAGACUAAUGGUUGAAUUCUAUUUGUGUAUCUAACUUAAUUGAAACUUUUAAUAUGUUGUAACAAAGUUUUAAAGAAUGUGAUUGUCACUCCGGAUGUUCAUGGCUCGGGAGGUUGAACUCAUAAUAACUCGUAUAAUUUUGAUUUGGAUAUCAAAUUUGAGUUUUAUAAUUUAUGCAUAUGUUAAUUCAACUAAUUGAAAUGACUUUAAGAAUUUCUUAUCAAUUUUAUUAUUAUUUUAAAUAAAAAAUAUAUAAUUAAUAUCUCAUUACUAAUUAUAAUUUUAAAAAAAAAUAAUUUUCACCAACAAUUACUAGACCAAUGAGUUUACGUAAGUUUAGGAUUAAAAGUUUUUUUUAUAUUUUUUUUAUAUUAUUUCAAAUUAUGGAUUUUAUUGAUAAUGUGUCUAGUUGAAUUUUAUAAUAUUAUCAAAUGUUAUAUCGUAUUGAUGAAUUUUAUUAGAUAUUAUAUUAUAUGUUUAAUUAAAUUUAAAUGUUAUAAAUGAGUAUAAUUGUAUAGAUUGUGUAACAUUUUUAAAUCGACAAAAAAAUCAUAAUUUUUUUUAUUUGAAAUAAAUUUGCGAACCCAAUUCAAUCAAACUCAUAAACGAACGAGUCAGUUUUGGCAAUAAAAUUGCAAAUUAGAUAAAAAAAUUAAUUCAUUAAAAUUUGAACUGGUGGGAUAAUCGGUCAAUCCAAACCCGGUCUAACCCAACCCAUAUACACCCCUAAUUAUCACUACUAAAUUAAUUAAAAUAAAAUAAAAUAUUUUUUUAAUAAUAAUAAUAAUGAAAGUUCACUAGUACAUUUAUACAUAUGGAACAUUUAUUAUUGAUAGCACUUUUCAUGCAUCAAGGAACUCAUUAAUUUUUUCUAUUCAAUUUCAUUAUUAUUUAUUCAAUAGUGAGAAGUGGACAAAAGAGUAUUGUCAGAUAUUAAAGUUUUUAUCUUUCUAAAGAGUAAAGGAAUAAGAAAAAGGUUAAAAAAGGGUAAAACUAAGAGAAGGGUGAUAUAGUCAUUUCCCAAGGAAGUGUCAUUCAUAACUACAGAGUCAUGAAAAAACAUAGAAUCAUGUUAUUCCCUCAUUUUUACCCCUUCAAACUUUUUCCUGUCUCCAUCCAAACCUACUGUCCAACUUUUCUUUCCUAUUUCCUUCAAAGCCUAACCCUUCUCUCUCUCUCUCCAUCUAUCUCUCAAAAACACCAAGAAUGAAGAAUAUUAAUAUAACCACUAACAAAUGAUGAUGAUGAAACAAGUUUGAGUUUGCUUCACCAUUUUAAGGAAAAAAACUUCUCGGAAAUCAAAGCUACUAUAAAAACCAUAUCUAUAGAUAUAUACAUAUAUACAUAUAGCUUUGAAAAUCUAUCCAAUUAUAUUGUUGAAUGAACACUUCACAACUUCACAGUACUAAUCCCAUCAAUCUCAUCACAUUCACAAUCUCAAAAAAAUUCUUCUUCUUGCUUCAUCAUUUUCAGGUAAAAAUUUCUCUAUCCUAAAAUAAACAAAAUCUAUAUCCAUUAACCCUUUCACUCUUAUCUCAGGAACCCUAGAACAACAAUCAAAGAGAUAAAUUCACAACAAUUAACCUUGGAUCUGCAAUGGAUUCAAUUCAACAAUUUAUACAAACAUGUAACAAUGAAAACACCUGCAACUUCAUGAAUACAAUAAGCAGCAGCAGCAACAACAACACAACAAGCUUAACAACAACAACAACAACAACAACCACAGCAAGUGGAAGCUCUUCUUCAUCUGCAGCUUCAACCAUAACCAACACACCGAACAGUAGCAGCCGGUAUGAGAAUCAGAAACGCCGUGACUGGAACACUUUUGGUCAGUACCUCAAGAAUCACCGUCCUCCACUUUCU
rnacentral:lncRNA from 1 species